rnacentral:lncRNA from 1 species
UUUUUUUUUUUUUUUUUGUCAAAGAUAGAGUAUUAAAAGUAAAAUAUUUAACAGUAAUGGAAAUCAAACCUGCGCAACCGUAACACUCGCUGUUAGACACGUCACAAUAUUUAUCUCGUGGGCCCUCCCUCCUCGCCUUUCUCAGACUGUCUUUGUCUCCUCCCGUUCUAACCACUUUUAGCCUCGCCCUCAACAACAAUCGUGCUAAGGGUUAGGGUUUCCGAUUCUUUCCUCUGGUUCUUCCGGCAAGUCUCUUUCGUAUUCUGUAAUUUUAUAGGGUUAGGGUUUUCAUUUCGGGCUUUCUCUCCAUGAGCGAUGUUCCCGACUCUCAGGUGAGUAAUUUACUGUUUCAAAUUUGAAUUUUGCUUUUAAAUUAUAGUUUAAAUCUCCGUAUUUUCAUAUGGUUCUUCACAUUGUUACCCAAUCUCAGUGGAAAUCCCUAAUUCAAUUGCUAAAUUUUGUGAAGUUUCUCUGUGUGUUUUCAUUUGGUUACUGAGCUUUUUUUAUUUUAUUUUUUUAUCAGAGCUUUGAUUUGUUAUUUGAAUUUCACUUCCAGUUUGUUUAUUUGAAUUCAGAAACGCCAUUUGGCUAGUUGAAUUUCAUUAGGGAUAUGUUCCUCUCUCUGCAUCUCUGUCUGCUUCCAUCUCGUCUGCCUCCUUGGUUGUCUCCUGCCUGUUUCUCGUUAUUCUGAGCGGUUGUUGGAAGCCCAAAUCGAGGAGGCUGUAGUCGAUUUGUUUCUCUGAAGCUCGCCGAAAUAGCUCAGGUAAUAACUCCCGAACUGAUUAGGGUUUGAUGUUGUCUGCCUUUACAAUAAGAUGUUUUGUUGUACAUUUUAGUUCUAUACUUUUAGGGUUUGAUUUUAUGGAAACUGAUUAUGUAUAGAACAUGGAACAGAAAACACAUAAUGUCAUAUUCUGUUAUUAGAAAGACAUGUGAUGUCAAUGUUUGGAUGAUCGUUAGCGAUUCAGUUGAUUAGUUUUUGCUGACACAAGGAGUUGAUAGUAACUUAGUACAGUAAUGUUAUAUAAUUGUGGAGGGCUAGCAUAAUACUGAAAAUGGACAUUGUUAUUGAUCUAGUAUGCUUUGUAGGUCUUUUUAAACUCAUGUUGAUCAACUAAUAGUCUUGCGAUUUUCGAGAUUAUUUGCUUUUAUGAGAUAACUGAAUGCAACUACCAAGUUUUGAAUUUUGUUAUUGAUUUCAAAUACAAUUUUCUCGUAGGUUUCCAACACAACUUGUGCGGCCAAGUAGCUCUGUAAACUUUCUGUAGUAAAAGCAGUUCAUUUUACUGCUCAAGUGUUCAUUUUAUUGGUUUUUCUAUUUGCUUUAGUAAAACUAUAUCGCACCAAGUUAAGGUAUUCAAUUUGAUGUGGUACUUUGUUGGUCUUUAUUAGAAAACAGUUUGUUUGGAUCCUAACUGAUUGAUAGUGAAGGACACCAACUUGUAGAAAUCAGAUACUGAAGGACAUCACAUUAUUAGAAAACCCCUCACCUGUGGUCGUUUGUCUAACUGUUUGCAAGUACAAAAUCAUGUACUAGAGAAGUGGUUUUGAUAUUGCUUUUUGUUAAUAUUUGUCCUUUUUUUACUAGAUAUGGCUCUAGAUAUCUUGUUUGCUUUUGUUGAUCCAAUUGGGAAGCUGUAUUAUGAUCUUUGGCCAAAGAUUGUAGAUGCUGCUGGUGUCAGCAUCUAUGUGUAGUUAGUUACUGUCAAUGUAGGGCCGAAAGAUUUUGUUUUUUUACAGUAGAUACCAACUAAAAUUUAUUUCAUGGAUUUUGUGUUAAUAUUAUUAUAUUUUAAUAAAUUUAUAAUUACUUAAUGUAACCGACGAUUAAAAAUAUUUGGUAUUACUAUCAAGUUGGAAUUGUGUAUGAACCAUGUCUUUCAAUAUGGGAGAAUUAUUGGUUUGGAUAUUUUUUUACAAAAGAUAACUCGUGGCAGCAUGGCAUAGAAUUUGCCACAAGGUAUACAACAAGUGUAUGUAAACUCCUCUAUUAGACAGCACGUGAUGCAUGUUGUUGAAAGAUAAUACCUUUUAACAAAAUGGCAUAGAAUUUGCUAAAAUGUAUACAACAAGUGCAUGUAAACUCCUUUAUUAGACAGCACAUGAUGCACAUUGUUGAACGAUAAUACCUUUUAACAACAGGGGAUUUAACAACGUGCAUGAUCCUCGACCAUAGGAAACCACACAUGUUGUUAAAUGCACUUUUCUUGAGGGUCUAAAGCAAAUUUUGAGAUGUCCUUUGUUCAGAUUUUAUUUUUUGCCCUUGAUGUAAAUUGAAACUUGCAUGAUCCUCAAUCAUACAAAACCGCGUAUGUAUAUCUCACAAAUGUGAUGUCUAAGGGAAGAGUAUGCUUGGCUGGUACUUUCGAUCAAAUGAAUUCCUGAUCAUGUUUUCUCUAUUGGUUUGUUAAGCAUGUGCAUUAAUUGUUCAUUUUCCAUAUUAUUCUUCAUGCUAGACCUAUUUUUGUCAAAUUUUUGUCAGACCACUUAAAGCGGUGCAUUGUUGGGAUUAUAGAUGGAGCAAGUCAUGUUCCCCCAUCCAACAUUACAAGGGGUUUCGUAAUUGAAGCUUGUUGUCAACUUUUAGCUGCAAGCAAACUUUAAUGGUAAGUUUACUGUGAAGUAGGGAAACAUUGUUUGUGUGUGUUGUUUUCAUUCCUCUGUUUUGUUUGUUCAUGCUUUAUUACUAGACUUGGUCUGAAUGUGAGACAGGCAAAGAUAUGAACGUUGUUCAAACAGAAGAUAGUUUUAUAAUGAAGCCUAUUGAUCAAAGAGAGCGCACCAGAAAUCGUAAUGAUGUUCAGACUCGUCGCAUGAAGAACAGAGAACGACAACGUAGAUAUAGAGCCCGUAAGCGUCUUGAAGCAGAUUUGAAGAAGUCUAGCAUUAUAAAGCAACCAACUGCACCAGAAGUAGAAGUGCAACGAAAUGAGUUCAUUUACACACCCCGUGUGUACUGUAAACGAGAUUGGAAAAAGGAUGCAAGGAGUGCUCAUGUUUCUAAGGCCGCUGAAAUUACCCCUAAUGGUUAUGCUGUCCCUACUCUUACGUCAACCAGUGAGGGUCAAAGUGUGUUCUUGUUUGGACCUAAGGCAGAGCCGCAAUUAGAUAUUGAAUCCCUGUCUGAGAUAACUGUGAACCAGAAUAACUGCGAAAUGCAUGUAUCUAACUUUGGUCGAAGAGAUUGGAAAGCCGAUGCAAGAAAGAAGAAAAUCUAAAGCAGAUGGCAGAGGAGUCCUAACUAUUCCAAUGGUAUGGUAUGGUACUUAACGGGUUUCAUGUCUGAAUCUUCGGGUAAGUUGAUUACUGGCAGAAAAGGGACGGGGAAACAGGAAGCGUAGAGUCGAAGUUAGUUGAUUACUGAGUUGCAUAUGUGGAGGCUAGCAAUGACGGAGAAAGAGUCUUGAACCUUGUUACCAAUUUAGUUAGAAAACCAGGUAAGUCGUCAAACUCAUCGUAAUGUAUGGUUACUGGUCAUGAAGUACGUAGAGAAUUUCCCCAAAUGUUUCAUCUGUGAGGAUUGAAUGAAUGUUCGCCAUGUAUCUUGGAUUGCAUCUAAAUUUGUUUCAUGUGAAUCGUCUGUGCAUAUGUGCAUGUUGGUGGUUCGCUGGCGGAGUCACUAAAUUGACCCUCACUUUGCUUCUCCUUUUUAAUUAGAAUAUUUAGGAAUAAACAACAUGUACAUUUGAAUGAGGAAUUAGAAGAUAAAAACACAACUCAGAAAAUAAAUAAACAAAUAAUACGAUGAAAAUAUUAAAAAAUUAACUAAUGCGAAUUAUAAUUUAUGAGUUUCUCCCUUUCUUCUCAUUUCUGAGGAGCGACAAAUUCUCAAAGCUCCAAUCCCUUCUCAUUCCGGAGCUCCUGACCAGGCGUGGUUCAGUGCUCCCUUCAUAUGCAACUCCGCCUGUAGUCAUAAGCCGGCGAUGACCGGGCCCCUUCUUCCCCUUCUUCUCCAGCACGAAGAUAGAUGAGUUUUCAAUCUGCUCGUAAGGUGGCGAAGUUAAGUUCCCGGACCAGCUUCUGUCGAUAUUGAUGUUUACGCAACAGAGUUUCCGAUAAGCUUUCUCCUUGCUCGCAUGAUCCCUGUCGCCGGAGGAGCUUGUUCUUUGCCGGACCUGGCAUGAUAGGCAAUUAAGGCUCAUGGUUUUACAGUGUAUAUAUAUGUAUAUAUGUAUAUAUGUAUGUGAAACCCUACAGCCUUCAGGCUAAGCUUGCAUAUGAGGCAGAAUGGGUGGGGAUGCAGAUGCAAAGGGUUCUACCAUCACAACAUGUUAGUGAUGGAUUAGGGAGACGAGAGACAAAGAGAUUGAGAUAUACAAUGUUUUCUGGGAGUUAGUUUUUCUGGAGGCAAACUCAUUGUGGUUGGAAAAAUAACAACCAAAUGUUAUUUUUGUUACUUUGGUAUUGGGAUUAGGGUGUUGCCAACCGGAAACACAGCUUAACCAGUUCUAAUUCGGGCCAACAAAUUGCCAAUGCCAACCUUAUCCAAUUGGCCUAAUUUUCAUGCAUGGUAUAGCAUAGUGAUUUUUUUUUUCAUUUUUUUUUUACAUACUAUUAUUAAAAGGAAGGAUGAGAGUUCAAAACUAUUACAAUUUACAAUAAUUUAGAGAGAGAAGUUUCAAACCUAGAACGCAAUGAGUAAAAACUUAAUACCCUGUACACUAGGAUAUUGGACUACAUGCAAUGGUAUGGUAGAAGUUAAUUAACUUUAUCUGCUUAUAUUUUAUUCUUUUGGUCAAUAGUUUUAUCUAUUAUUGACACGACAAAUGAGGUGCAAAAUACCACUAUUUUAAAAAUCUCUGCCUAGGCGCUAGGUGGUUGGUCACCGUCCCGAUUAAUGGCUAGGCGUUUGAAAAUUAAGAAAUGGUGCCUAGACCUACUGAGGCACCCGCCAAGACCCGCCUAGGUUACGACUCACUUAGACAGAAAAUAGAUAACAUUCAUUUGGCAUUUUAUUUUUUCCAAUAAAUUUUAAGAGACGUGUUGAAUACUUAAAUGAACACACAUUAUAUGCUUGUUUCCCAUGUUUUCAUUAUGUUCCAAUAGCUCAUAAUAUAUAUGUCAUUCUAUUUUGUAGUUUAUGAUGAAAUUAUAUACAUUUUAAGUAUAAAUAGACACUUAUUUACACUAAAUAUCAUAGAUUUAAUUAAAUCCGUCUAGACGCUAGGCCCCAGCCAGCCGCCUGACUAGCGCCUAACAUCUUUUAGAACCUUGCAAAAUACAAAGAUUUUCUUUGUGUACAACCACAACCCAAUUCAAACAAUAGAAAGAAGAAAAAAACCAUAAAAAAACAGGGGAGAGAAGUAAUAAUGUUUUACCAAAUUGCCAAAUAUUUGCGAACUCCAAAUAAUUAGGACCUUAGAGGGUUGGAGAUGAGAGACAAAAAAUUUGAAAAAUAAUGGGAGAUAUCAUAUGAUGUCCCAAUUUUGCAUGGGACUUGGGCCAAACGCAAUUGGUCAAGGCCCAAAUAAACUAACUCGACGGUUUGAUGAGUGGAAAAACUUUGAGAGAUUCUUGACACAUAUGGGCUGGUGCAAUUCGAGGCCUAAAGGGAUUCAAAGUUCUAAUGAGAAAGGCAGUGACCAUUGUUGAGCUUAAAAUAUUAAAAACACAUCUAUUUAUUCUCUAUAGUUGAUAUCAAAUCUAUGAGUAAAUCUAUGUGAGGGCUUCAAUCCUUACUUCUUUUGUUUGAUUUGAAUUGGAUCUCCAAGUCCGAAAAGAAUGGGAACUCUAAGUCACCAAAAAAAAAUAUGUGAAGCGUAGAGGAGCGACAUGGGGAGGAUUUGGUGCUAGCAAAAUCCUCCCUAAGUGAUUGGCCCCGUAGAGGGAAUCUAGAUUGGUGUUUCUAUUUCACCAAAACAAAGCCCUAAUGAAGGCUACAACUCCUCUUAUAUAGUCAUUGCAAUUAAGUGAAAACUACUAGCCCAUUGGGUCAUGAAACCCAAAAAUUUUUAAAAAUCCAAUGUGAACUUAUUUGUUUGAUUAAUUAACUUACUAAUCAAUCCUAACAUUAAACAAGAAAUUAUUUCCAUGAAGUUUCUUCAAUUUCUACCUUACUCACGGUGUACGAUCCAUAAGGUUUUAAUUAGUAAGGCAGUUGCUUAUUAGAACUCUUACUAAUCAAUUAUUAGUUAAAUCCUUCUUUUAAUUUAUUAUUUUGUUUUAUGAGUCAUAUUACACAGUCUUCUCCUUCUAUGGUUGAAGGUUAGAGAUCCAUUAUUGUACCCUCACAUGCCUCCAUGGAUAGGUUAAUGAUCUCAACAAUAUAUGGAACAUGUCCUAAGUGGAGCAUGGUCUUUGUUGCAUUGUUAAAUGAUCAAAAAAAUGUACUCAUAAGAUAAAUGUGGUGUUUCAAGCCAAAAGACUACAUGCACUAUACCAACUAGGAGUUCUCAUGUAAGAUGUGUAUGAGAACUCUUUGAUCGCAUUUAGUUUACCCACUCUCAAUUGAGCACCUACAUACUUGCAUUGGUGUCGGAGACUCAAGACCAAUUCCUCUUCCAAGAAAGUUCUCAUGAAUUUAACUUUAUUCAUAAGAUAACUGUGGUGUUUUAAGCCAAAAGACUACAUGCACUAUACCAACUAGGAGUUCUCAUGUAAGAUGUGUAUGAGAACUCUUUAAUCGCGUUUAGUUAACCCACUCUCAAUUGAGCAUCUACAUACUUGCAUUGAUGUCGACGACUCAAGACCAAUUCCUCUCCCAAGAAAGUUCUCAUGAAUUUAACUUUUUUAGGUUACAUUCCAUGUAUUACAUAUUUCUUGAACUUAUUAUUUAAGUGUAUACCUAUUAGUGAGACAGUUGUAAACAAUAAUCUUUGUUCUUGAUCAGACUCAAUAAGUUUAACAUGUGAAAUUCUUCGUAAAACAUCAUUUUAUUAUUUGCUUUAGGACACUUUUGUAAUACUAUAACCAUCGUACUUUUCCUUGUCUCUUAAUGAAUUUAUUUUCUCUGCCACAUAUCGGGAAGGUGGUACAAACUCCAAAGCCGCCCGACUGAUGUUUUACAUGAUGCUAAAGGCACCACACAACAGUAUUUAGUUUAUAACUAAAGAGCGAACUCAACAUAAUACUACAAAAAAAAUGGUCAUUACCGACGAAGAUUUUCUGAGGGCUCCAAAAAACCGUUGUAAAAAGCACAUUUUGCGACCAUAAAAUAUGGGUCGUUGGUAACUUGGCAUGAAACAAAUUUUUAUUACCAACGCACAUAAUGUCCUCGGAAAAAGUCUCAAGUUUCGUCGGAAAUGCACUUUUGUUUGGCUGGAAGAAUUGGCACUAGUUGUAUUAACAAUGAGUAAAAUUCUUAUCGGAAAUAGAAUGGUUAUUUUCGAAGGUUUACUGUCACACCUCGAUCCCAACAUAUGCCCAAGAUCAACACGUGACGUCACCAAAACUAGUAUCUCAAACUUAUUCCGCCUCCGGAAUAUGGGAAAUUACAACUCCAUAAUCAAAUUUCGUAGUGAUUUUUCUAUAUCUUAUGGCUGCAUCUAACGUCCUCGUUAGACUACCUAUGUACCCUCAAUAGGGAUCAAGCCAUUCAUAGUUCGUCAUACAUUACACUUGAACAAUUAUCACAUCAUUCACUUUAUCUUCAGAGUGAUACAUCCAUAGCAUGUAACAUAUCAAAUAACCAACGAAACACAAUAUUAAUCUCAAGCUACCUUGAUCAACUAAAAUAAUCAUAAUAAUAACAAUCAUAUUCAACGUCAUUCCACAAUCUCGUCAAUUAAACAAUUCAUGAAUUAAAAAUGCAUGAUCUUAGCAUUUAACUACGUUAAUCAAACAAUGCGAUAACAUAUCAUUUUAUGAAUCUAGUUAAAGAACUCUAUAUAAUUCCCUAAUUGGAUUAUAAGUAAUAAACAUUGUAAAUCUAAUUUAUAUUCACAAGGUCUAGUGCAGGUAAUUCCCAUUCGCUUGAAUCUAGGGUUCUAUACUAACCUUAUGGAAAUGAGCAAGAGCAAAGAUUCCGGACCACUCAACAUAAUCCAAGAUAUCAAGCGGUUUCUCGUAAUCUACCCAGAUCUGUCACAUGUAAAAUCAAUGCCUACAUCAUGGAAAUGGUACAUUGGACCAAUCAGACACUUAGAUAAACUAUGAGGCUCGGGUGAGUGACAAUAAUACAAGUAUGUGAUAUUUAGUAAAAACAGACAAUCAAUCAUAAUCUAUAAACAUCGAGUAUAGAAUCAUGCUUCAUGAAAUCAUAAUUAAGUCGUUGCAAUCUUUGAAGGAGUCACCAAGACAUCCAACGGCUUUUCUAACGGCUUUUCUAAUUCAAACCUCAAGAUUCUCAAAACCAUCAUUCUCAAAACUAGGGCUAGAGGGACGCCGUUCGACCAAAGCCUACAUAAGUAAGUAACCAAACCGGAAGUGGCCCCCCAAAGCGGAUUAACCAAGCAGAGCCACCCAUGAGAAAGUAACCAAGUAGGCAGUGACCCCCCCAACGCGGAUUAACCAGGCUAAGUCACUCCUACAACUGUUAGGAAGUGAUCACCCAACGCGGAUUAACCAAGCAUGAUCACUCCUAAGCAUACAUGGCCAUAAGGAUCGCCCAACGCGAAUUAACCAAGAGCGAUCCAUAUAUAGUAUGGUCCCCUAACGUGGAUUAACCAACCAAGGUCAAGAUAACCAAGUAGGUAGUGACCCCCAAAUGCGGAUUAACCAAGCAGGGUCACACGUACAGAACUAUUAGGCAAUGAUCAUCCAACGCGGAUCAACCAAGCAUGAUAACCCCUAAAUAUAAAUGGCCAUAAGGAUCGCCCAACGCGGAUUAACCAAGCACGAUCCAUAAAUAAUAUGGUCCCCCAUCGCGGAUUAACCAAGCAGGACCAUCCAUGUACCACUGUUACAUGGUGCAUUUAGAUCAACACACAAACCAUUUGCCCUUAUCUUAUCCACUAUGAUUUACAUCGUAAUCACUUGCACUAUCAACUUCUCAUGACCACUAACUAUCUUAUCAUAUAAGCAUAAAAGUUCUACAUAAUACUUCUCAUAAGAUUCUGGGUACACAUCGUCAUAAAAACAAUCAUACACAUCAUAUAUAUCUAACCACAUUUCAUAAACGUUUCCAAGCUACAGUCUAAUCACAAUUAAACAUAGAUCGAUGCUAAAAAUAACAAUUCAAUAGAAAGGACAUUUAAUAAACAAGUAGAACUCAAUAUGGUGCCACUAAUACAUAUAUCGAGAUACACGUCAACUGGAAACGACACGUCAUCAUGAUGAGCCAACUAAGCUCCAUCAAGCCUCAACAACAAACUAGAGAUAAACGACACUCUAAAGUAGAGCACAUUGACUAGAACGUCAACCGUUGGUAAGGUAGGUCCAUUAAGGUCAACAAUCUAAGGUUACUCAAUCCGGAAGAUCCACGCAUCGGAUUUCCGAUCUGUAAGUUCUCAAAGGUCCAACAACUGAUAACUAGGGUGCUCACAAAAUUGUAUGACGAUCCAAUCAUUGGAUUGUCGUCAAUCACACAAACAAGUGGUGGUCCAAUUUGAUCACCACACCAAACAAUUGAAUUUCAGGAAACCGAGCUAGACAUAGGUUCAUAUGGUCACUAGAAGGUAUUUGGUACUUAGACAACACUUGUGCACGGUCCCACACACCACCACAUGUGGUGGUAGCCAAGGUGAAGGGUUUAGAAAACUUGAAUUUUCAACAUUAACUAAAUGAGCGAAAAUUUACAUCGUAGCUAGAGCUCAACAAGGGAAACACUUUUCAUAACUAGGCCGACGAUAAAUUCUAACCGGAAACCAUCUAAAUUCACCGAAGAAAACCGGAUUUCUAGGGUUCUAAACACCAAACUCUAAAAUGAAUACGAAAGCAUGAACCAAGCAUACCAACUUGAAGAUUAUGAAAAGUGGAUGAAAUUUCAUACCUUACUCGAAGGAAAUGGUUGCCGGAAUCACCGGAAAAAUAAUAAAACCGCUGGAAAAGUCGUGGCUUUGUGGCUUCGAACUGCAAAGAUGGAAAAGAAAAUGGGAAAUCUAACACUAAAGAGAAGUAGGGCUCGUCAAGAGCUUUCCAUGGAUAGCAAGAUCACUCAAAACAUAGUUUGGACGGAGGAGAUACAAGCAGGUCAAGUUGGUGGGUUAAUGGGUCCAAUCUCCCCCCAAAACGGGUUAGAAUUAGACCCUCCCCCCCCCCCUUUUUUUUUUAAAUCUUCCCCCUUUAAUUUGAUUGGUCCUUCUCCUUUUAAGCUGAUUGGUCCCCUUAUUUUUGCUUAAAUCUGAUUAAGCUUCUUCCUUGUGGAAGUUUAAUUGAUUUAAAAAUCUAUAAUUUAGUAAAACAACUUCAAAUGUCUUUCGCCUAUACGUUUAUGGUUUCAAGAACUAUUCAAAAAUAUAAAUUGUCUCAAUAAUACAAAUAUGUAGAUUACAACAGUGAAAUCCAGAAACGGGAUUUCACAUUUACUCAUGUUGAUGAAAUUGAUUUAGUAUUUUCAAGGGAAAAAAAGUCUUCUUGGUAAUGUUUUUAUAUUUUUUAGGCCAAAAAAGUCCUCUCGGUAAUGCUUUUAUAUUUUCGAGGGUGAUUAGUUGUUGUCAGAAAUAAUUAUAUUUUUUCCGAAAAAAAAUUUUGCUUUGUCAGAAUAAAUUUUUAAGGUGUUUUGUUGGAAUCAAUUAUUUACCAAUCGUCACAUGUGUCGUUGGAAUAUUCUUGAAAUAAGUUUGAUUCCUAAUUUAAAUUCUACAAUAAAUAGAUCAUAUAACUUAGAAUACAUAUGGAGAAGAUUGGACCAUAAAAUUAAAAAUAAAAUUGGAGUUAAAAUAACUGUUAAAUCGUUAGUUUUCGUUUAUAACUGUCGAAAGGUUUCGUCUCGUUACCUAAUAUCUGAUUGUCUGUUUUUUUGCAAUUUUUUACAUAUGCAAUCUUGGAGUCUAUACAAACAAGUUUGCUAGUUGGAUCGUUGAAACUAGUUUUGUAAAAGAUAAAGUUCCACCAUUGUGAAAUUCCUUAGUAAUCUUAAUUUUAUUCAUUCAAGCACAGUGUAAAAGAAAUGUUUGCAUUAAUAUACCAAAUCAAACAAAUAAAGAGGAAAAAAAAGGACAAAUCGAGAAAACCAAAUUUUUUAAGCCACUUAAUAUUAUGGUAUAAUGAUAUUCCUCAUUACUAGUAAGUAAUAUCGCUUAGAUUUGAAUUUUUUACCGAUUCAUUCUCCCACAUGUAAAUACUAUCAUGUUAUUAGAGAAACAUUUUUUGGUGUUUUGUUGAUGUUCACUGCCAUUUCCAGUGAUGCAACUGCUGCUGCUACACUUUACAGAAUGGUUAUUACCAAAUAAAGCAAGGAAUUUCACCCAUGGCAGACCCUUAUUUCGUCCUUAAGUGUCGGUUCAUUUUCCGCAUCAAAAGUAGACUCAUAUGCUAGCCUGUGACUCUUCCGAGUAAAACAAGCCAUUUCACAUCCAAAAAUAACGUGCUCAAUUCAUUGAACUAAAAGACAUGCCAAAAACGAAUUGGCUACGUUACUUAGGGCUGAUUUGGUAUUGUUGUGCUUUGAAAAAAAUCUGAUGUGAGAAUAAGUGGCUGUAAAAUAAAUCAACAGAGUGUUUGAUAAACUUUUUUGUAAAAGUGCUUUUGGAAAAAAAAAAACAGUUUGAUAGUGGGUCUUUUCAUUAAAGGAGCAAUGUAGUUCUGUGUGAUUUGAAAAAAAGUCAGUUUUCCAAAGCUGCAAAUAUCAGCUUCAGCUUUUUCCUUUGAUUUCAACUUAUUCUCACAACAGCUUCCAAAAUAAGCCCUUUUUUUUUAGUUUACCAAAUACCUAAAACCCUCACAGCUUUUUCUUGUGGGUGUUUUUUUUUUAAGCACCUCACUCCCAAACCACCCCUUAGCCCCCUAUAGUUUAGUGGUAUUGUAGAAUUAUCAUAGAGACGGCCGAAAGCUCACUUUCAACAACACUCAUACUGUUCUUGUACCCACUUCCAACAACACCCAUAGUGUACAAUCCGUCAGAUGUGAAGUUUUACAAAAGGUCUCAAUGUUAAUUAGAUUGGAGGUAGGAUAUUUAAACUAUGUCUUUUCUUUUUCUAUUGCCGAUAUAGAAUUCAUCAGGUAUUCAUUUUUACUUGUAAAUAAGAAGUUUUAAGUUCGAUUCGCUUAACAUAGAUAAUCGUUUGUUAGAAAAACGAAAGACAAAUUGACUAGUCUCAGACUCCCUCCGUCUAUCUAAUUUAAAUUAGAUUAGAAAAUCGCUGGAACAACGAAAGAAAAACGAAAACAACCGGAACAAGUAGAGCAACUAAACUCGUGCAGAAAUUUCAACUUAUUAGAUAAAGCAAAAAACUCCCGAGGCAGAGUCUCCGUUCUGAAACACAAUUCCCAAAUAAUACAUACUUGAGAGCUUCCAAUUUACAUAUACACAUUCCAAAAAAAGAAAGAGAACAGAGAAAAAUUGUUCGAGUGGUUUCGGCUCCUCAAAUCCAAACAACCUUAAACUCCUCCAAUCCAGAUAACCUUGAACUCAAUUCUAUACUAGUAUAACCAAUUACGAACUAAGCAAAAGCCACCCGAAAGACGACGACGUACGACGUCGUAGAAUAACUAUAUUACAGACUACAGAGCAGAGCUCUCUGCAUUUCUGGGAGCCUUAAAAUGUCCCAUCGCUCUAAACCACCAAUUGGAUCGGAUCGGAUCGGAUCGCAUAGGAUAAUGUUACCGGAUGGACUGUCAAAUCUGGCGGGCAUCGCCAACUUUGGAAUGUAGAGCUAACCGGAGCUGAUCCUGCGUGUAAAUCCGGCUACCCGCUUUCACGGUGGCUUGUUGGAUCAUCAAAUCGUUGACUACAGAAACGCUGGCGUGGUGUACUUCCAAGUCGAGCUCCUUGAGAGCCGCCAUUAGCCUCGCGGCCGGGUGGUUCUUCUUGCAACACUGAAUUCGAAUCAUGGCGUCCCUUCCGAUUAUCUUCACGUCAAUGUCCAUGUCUAACAAUUUACUGCUAGACCCUUUCAUUUCGUGCUCUAACACGGUCGAACCCGACGACCUCGAAUCUUUGCUGGGCAAGUCCUUGUUCAUCGACUCCAAUUGCUUCUGCAACUCCUCUUUAUCCGUCUCUACCGUCUGCAGCUUCAACUUGAGCUCGUUGAUGUAGGAUAUGGCGUCUCCAAGCAGCGACGCUUUGUCCAUUUUCGAUACGUUUGGGACUACUGCUCGGAGCGCGUAGAAUCUCUGGUUAAGCUUCUCUCUUCUUUGCCGCUCUGCUUCCACGUGAUUCAGUGGCUCUUCUCUCCCAUUCGCCGGUUUCCGUCCCCGUUUUCUGGGUCGUUUUUCCGGGUCAACAACUCGGCUACUAUCCGCCUCCCUAACCACCGACGCUUCGAGGUCCGAGUGGUCUGAAUCGGCAACGCCGCUGGAUUUCCCCACACCGCUGGACGGCAAAAUCACUCCCGAACUAAAGGACAAUAUCCCCUCCUCGUUGCUACCCAGCGACGGCGGGGACCUCUUCUUUUUGCUGUUGUUAUCCUCAGCGGCGGCGAUUUGGGAAUGCCCCGAGAACAAUUUCCCGUUGGCGCUGUAAGAGCUCCUCUUGCUCUCCCCGAAAUUCAAAAUCUCGCCCGAUUCGGGCUUCAACGAAUGCGAAUUGGAAGUCGAAUUCUUCACGCUGCUCCUGUCAUAUCCGUUGUAGUCGGAGAAAUUGAGCUCCCUGGUGAAGAAGCUCUGCGUUUGCUGUUGUUGUUGUACUUGCUGCUGUAAUUGUGGUACUUGAACCGGGCUUGGGUUCUCGGAUAAGCUACUGGAGCUCGGGUGGUUGUCGAACUGAAUCGGCUUUGAAAUGGGCUGGUUGCUGGUGCUGGUGGGUGCCGAAGCAUUCACCGGGUCCUUCACUUCCAUGGUGGUGGUCGACGGGUCGUUGAGCCAGAGCGAAGGGUCGUUCUCGCCCUGAUCGGCGGCGGCGGCGGCGGCGCCUGCCAUAGGCCAAGAACCGACCUCCAAAUUGUUGAAAUUGAACAAAACCCUGACCUUGUUCAUCAGAUCGGAGGUCUGGUAGAUGAGCUCGGUCGAGCCCAACUCCACAACCCCAUUCGCCGUCGGAACGCAAACCAUAGUCUGCAGCCCAAACACGUGACCCUGACGCGCCCUCUCGCACGCCGAGGCCGCCAGCCGGUCCGGUCCAGCAACCCAGACCGGGGUGGAGUGAAAGAAGGCCUGACCCGGGAGCCCGCCGCCGUUGACGAACGACUGAGUCAUGGACACCAGAAAGAACCACUCAGUAUCAGUCACUUCCUGAUCAACGACGGCGUCGUCUGCUGACGUGUCGGCGCCGGAAAUCAAGGAAUUCAGGUCUCGGAGGACUUUCUUGCGGUACUCUUGUUCGGCGGCGGACGUCGUCGUUUUCGCCUUGGCCUUAACCUUGUCCCGCUCGUCUUUAUAAAAUCCUUCGCCCCAUCCAAGAACGGCGCCGGCGCCGGAGUAGUCGUAGGAAGACUGCCAGAAGAUGGCGUAGGUCCAGCUCUCACGCGCGCCUUCGAUCAGGGCCUGUAGGCGCUGCAUGAGGGUUUCCUGGUUGAAGGGCGUGGCGGACGGCUGGAAUUGGGCGGCAACAGGGGCCUUGGGGUAGUCUGAGGUGGACGCCGAGGAUUGCGGCUGGGGCGGAGCGUGAGCGGGUUGAGGUGUGGGCUGGGCCGGCGGCGCCGCCCAAAACGACGCCAUAUCGGAUGAGCUCAUAAACGCCUCCAUUAAGGACGCGUUGUCGUCCGUCCAUAGAUUCAUCGUCGGCGGUAUCCGGUAGUCCGUCAUGUGAUCCGCACCGUUUGAAGGGUAAAAGGAUUGGUUGGGAGUUGUAGAGAGAGAGAAAGUAGAGAGACGGAGGAGAGAGAGAGAUAUUUGGUUGGGAGAGGUAUGGAAAUGGGUAAAGGGGAUUUAUUUGGAGUGCAUUUGAGUUGAGUGUCAGAUGGGGAGGGAAGUGAGAAGUAAAAAGAGGAGAGUGAGCGGCCCAGUCGAAAUUUCUAGGAAAUAACUUUUACCGAUUAAUCGGCAGCUUCCAAAAGCCCGCGUACACGUAUGUCACGUGCGUUCACAGCAUGAACUCUUUGACUGUUGACCGUGAACUAGGGUAGAUAGACACAAACUUUACCAUCUGUAUAAUAAAUAAAUAAUUUUUUUAAUGCAUCGAGAACACAAGUUUCAUGAUAUAAGUGGUAUAAUUUUUGAAGAAAAAUUUAACUACUUGUACUACGAAUUUCAACAGUUUAAGAAAACAAGAAUGGAUAAUUACGUGUGCGUAAUAAGUCCAACAUUUUUUACUUUGUAGGGAUGGGAUAAUAUAGUUUUCUGGUAACUAAUAAAGGUUUAGAUCUCUGUUUGAGCGUUAAUGUGGGUUAGAAAUAUUGAUUACAAUCUUAAUGUUGGUAAAAUUAGCAUCUAAUUACAAAUGGAAACAAGACAGUAAAAGUGUAUUAGUUACAAAUGGAAAAUUCAGAUCUACAAUGUCUACAAAUAGAAUACUCAGUUGACUUCUUAUUUGGGGAAAUAUUGCUGCAAUUUAUUAAUGAGAUUGUUUUAUUAAAGAGUACGAUAUUUCAUUUAUUGGAAGGGAAAAAAACAGUAUAAAUACAUCGUGAUUUACCAAACAUGCAAUUAUCGAAUUCAAUUUGCUCCCAAAGCUGAACUAAAUAAAUUAUUUGUCGGUAAGGUGGCAUAUCUGUUAAGGAGGAUAAACUAUAAAAUGGGACAAUCUUUCAACAUUACUGUGACAAAAAACAUCACUAGAUCAAGAAUAAAUGGGCUGAGUUACGAAGCUCAUGACGUUGAACUUGAAAGGCUCCAGCAUCGAGCAUUACCCCUUGAGUUAUUAAGCGCUACCCCUUGAGUUAUCGAGCACGGACUCGGAUUCUCGUCGGAUCCUUCUCAUGCGGAGCCUGCGAACGUUUAAUCUUGACCGUUCAUGUGUUAAUCAUGCGGCCACAAAUCAAUACCAAUUUGUUUUUGUGUUUUCACAGAAAACGAUACUCCACCGGCCUUUUCUCUCCCUCUCACCGUCUCUCUCUUGAACCCAAACAAGUAAUGCAGCCAAAGUAAUGGCAGAGAGUCUCUUUUUCUGCCUUACCAACAAUGCAACUAAAAUCCCUAAUCUUCCUCACCUCCUUUUCCCACAAACCCAUCUCAUCUCUCACACCCAAAAAUUCACUAAAAAUCCCCAACCGCUCUGUUUUAGAGAUAUGAAGGUCAGUUUUCUAGCGUAAUCGGUGACGAAAAGGCAGUGGGGGAUGGUUAGGUUGCGAACGAAGGCGAGCGAGUAGUUUCCUUGAAAAAGUGAAAAAAUAAUUGAGUUUAUUUGUAGCAGUAGGAUUGUACAUGAACGACCACGAUCAAACGGUCCGCUGGUUCCUCAUGGGAAUGAUUCGAGUCCAUCGAGCACUACGAUUAAGGCACUCGGCUGAUCUAUACUUUAGUCUCAAAACCACUGACCAAUAAAGGUCAUCAUUCUGCUUGACCACUUUUCGACUACUUGUAACCCAACAUGUAUAUAGCAUACAUUUUAAGUGGACGUAGCCCAUUUCUUUGGGAUGAACCACUUAAAUCUCUUUGUCUUCAAUUAUCAAACACUCCCACACCCAGCAAAGUUGACCAUACUAGUUUUGUGUUGACCUUGCUAUAUUUGAGCGUUAACAACUAGUUGGUGAAGGUAAUGUGUCCAUUCUUUUUCGUCGGAUAUGUGGUCACACGAGAAAGGAUAGGAUCAAGAGCGAGGAUAUCCGAGGUAAAAUAUGAGUGGCUGCAAUUGAAGACAAGAUGAGAAAAAAAUGGUUAAUAAGAUGAUUUAAACACGUGAACUAAAUACCUACAGAUACUCCAGUUAUAAUAUGCGACUAUAAGACAGAGGCUCAGGGUAAAAGGGGUAGAGGAAGACAUAAGAAGACUUUGAAAGCGACUAUAAGAAAAGAUAUAGAGUACUUGGAGCUAACGGAAGACUUGGCACAAAACCUAGCAUAAUAGCGUUCUGGGAUUUGUACAGAACUCUACUUAGUGGGAUAAGGCUUGGUUAUUGUUUUUGUUGUCUAGUUAUUUAGUUGUGUUUUUUAAUACAACAAUAUAUAUACAAUAAGGAGUGGAAAAUAAAUGGGUAACAAACUCGCCAAUUAUGAUAUUUGAGCAUAAGAAGUUUCAUUUAUAGAAUACUAUUAAAUCAUAUUACUAAGUAGUUAAUUAUAUAGUUGUUUAUUACUUAGAAUCAAUCAGCAUUUGAGGACUUGCCUCGUUGAUAAAAAAUAAAUAAAUAAAAUAAAUAAAAUAAAAAUAAAAAUAAAAACCCCAUAUAUUUAGUAGGUAAAUAACGUAAUUACCCUUUUAAUAAUCGUAUUUAUUUAAAUAUAAUUAUGAUUAACUUGUAGAAAAUUCAAACAAUGUUUUCUAGUGAUUAACCAGCUAGUAUUGGAAUUUUGCUUGGCAACAAUAUGGCGUCCUCAAGUAAAAGUAGAACGUGGCUUGCCAGGUGGUAAACUUUGUAAGCUCAACUUGUAUGUUUCUUUGUGAACCCUUCACCUGCCCUCAUCUAAAUGUUGUUAUCCAAUAUUUUAAUAGUGGGCUUCUAUCCAGCGUUCAGGUUUAAAACCUUCCCUUCCUCUAAAUUAAAAUUAUAUUUUUGAACCCUUCACCUGCCCUAAUAAUAAUAAAUAUUAAUUUAAGAAGAUGAUUAUCACAUACAUGUUUUCUAGUUUCUCACACUCUUCUUGAUUUAUAAUCAUUGAAUUAAAUAAAUCAUACGAAAAUAACAAACAAGAUUAAAUAAGAAUGUAUAAGAGGCCACAGAGUGUGCAUGUUUAUCAUUUUUCUGUAAUUUAUGACGAGAGAGAUUCGAAGUUGGGUGCAAAGCAAUCUCAUCUCCGUUACACUCAUUUUUUCUACUUGUUGUUUUUUGACCGCCCAACAUUUCGUGCCAUAAAGCAUCAUUGGCCUUAUUACCGUCUUAUAAUUUUUUUCUUGAGCUUUAGUGACAUAUGAUAUUCGCAUAACACAACCAAUGCACUCUUCCACUUCAUCCAUCCAGCUUGAAUUCUAUGCUUGAGAUCUCCAUUUAAUUCUCUAUUAUUUUGCAAGAGAAUCCAAGACAACGAAAAUGUUCACACUUUGGUACUCCCUAAUCCCUAAUCUCACGCACAUCUCAUUUUUGCCCCCAUUCCCAUGAACUUGCACGCAAUACACUCUGUUUUUGACCUACUUAGGCGAAGAUCAUUAGCUUCCAACACUUCCCACCAAAGGUUAAGCUUCACAUUUACCACUUAUGCGUUUCAUCUAUUAGCACUAUAUCAUGUGCGAAAAACAUACACCAAGAAAUAUCAUCUUGAAUGUGUGUCGUUACUCGUCUAUUACCAAUGCAAAAAGAAGUAAGGACUUAAAGCUAAGCCUCGGUGUAACCCUAUAGUUCUAGAAAAGCUUUCAGUUUGUCUUUCAUGAGUUCUUUCUGCAGUCAUUGCUCCAUCAUAAUAUCCCUUAUUGCUUGGAUAUAUGCUAGUCGUAUUCUUUUCUUCUCGUGAAUCCUCUAAAGAUUUUCUUUCGAUACCCUAUCAUACAUUUUUUCCAAUCUAUAAAGACCAUGUGCAAAUCCUUUGUCAUAUCUUUAUAUCAUUUCAUCAAUCUUCGUAAGAGAUAGAUUGCCCCCAUUGUCGAGCGCCCUAGCAUGUUCCCAAAUAAUUCUCUGAGACUCAUAUCUCUUGCCUCAUUCUACGCUCAAUUAUCCUCUCCCAGAACUUCAUUGUGCAAUCAAUAACUUACCUCUGUAAUUCAUGCAAUUUUGUAUGAUGCCAUUAUUCUUAUAAAUAGGCACCAAAGUGCUCUACAUAAUUGGAGUUAAUGAUUUUUUUUUUUCCUUUUUUCAUAGGUAUGGCCUCUUAACUCUUGCCUUCAACCGAUGAUUGGGUUCAAGCCACCAGACUCUCAGGCUUCGAGGUCUACCAACCCAAACUAAAAUAACUUGCUAAAAACUAAACGAACAGUUAGUUUGAAUUUGUUGAUAAUGCACUCCAAUCUUUUUAGGAUGAAAUAUAUGUUGCACUUUUAAGUUUGGAUACAAUUGUAAAUUUAUACAGCGUUUUUUUCCUUUUCAAUUUCAUACAAUGACUCAGAUUUCCUACCAAUAUCAUACAAUUAAUAGAAAAUUUAUUGAAUUUUUCCAUUAUACGAUGACAUAGUGACAAAUAAGAGACCCACUGUUUCUAAUGUGGAUAAAAAAUUAAUAAAGAAAAUCAAUUUAAAUGUGUGAUUACUUUAAAUAUUAAAUAUAUAUCGGUAUUGUAGUCAAUUUCUUAUUUUAUGCUAACAAAAAAAAAACCAACCUUUAAAAUUAAAAGAUAACUUGUUGCAUGUCACAUGGGCUAAAUUGCCAAAUUUUAAAAGAAAAGUGAAAAAAGAAAAAAAAAACGAGAAUCAUGUUGCAUGUGACAUGGGCUAAAUUGCCAAAUUACAAAUGCAAAAGUGAAAAAAAAAGAAUCAUAUAUCACCGCUGGAGGAACACUUGAAAAGAUAUAAUUUUCUAUGGUCUCGUAUUCUAACACUGAAAAAUUUCUCCAUCAGCAGCAGCGAAAAUCCAAAACAUCGUGGCCCACCAUCCAAAAAAUCGCCGACUGUGGGUUAAUAACUUAAUUAAGACGAAUAGCAGAUAAGAUAAAGACUGAAUGACAGAAUAGAAUACAAAAACAAAUGAGUGGGAACGCGUUUGCGUCACGAGAUUGAAUCCUGGCCCUUGAUUGAGUCGCCACUUUCGUCUUUAUGCUCGAAAUCAAUACAAUAAUUAAACACAAUUUGUUCAAAAAUUACGAUAUUAUUAAAUUAUUGAAAACACGUUUUGCUUGAUGCGUGUCGUAAAAGCACGUUUCUUUUUUUGUUUUUUUGAUUUAUUUCGUUGGGCACGUGUAUUAUUCCUCCUUCCCAUGUGAAAAACCCUCUUCACCUUUUUGUUUUAUUUUAUUUUAUAUUUUAUCGUUUGGUUUUUUUGUGUUUCAUGAGAUGUUUUCGGCAAACCCCUUUGAGUCAUGAACCUACCACCUUCAUCUUGGUUCAAUAUUUUGAAAGAAAUGGUAAGAGGAACUUUCUCCGAUAUGAGACUCUUCGUAGAUUUUUUGACAUUUUAUAUUUUUAGCAUAAUAUUUAUAUUAUUGAUAUAAAAAUUAAUGUUAAAUUGUGAGGUGAUAGAGAGUUCAUAGAAACAGAGACCGAUGAUUAGUGAACCAUCUUCGAGUUCAGAAAAUAUCCAUGUGAAGGUCUUCCGAAAAUCAUCUCAAUGUUAUGUACAGGUCCCUUUAUACCUACUAAGUGUUUGAUGUAAUAGCUGCUAAACAUAUCGCAACAGAUUGAGUGAACAAUAUUCGACAAAAUUCUCUCAAUAUCACUUAUUAAGUGUUCGACGAAUUGUCUCAGUGAAUAAAUUAAAUUUUUUUUGUUUUUUUGCACGCUCUAAAACAUUGACGUUUUUCACUGAGGCCAUUCAAUUCGAAUCUUGAAUCCGCUACUUCAUAAAGAGGCCCAUCUUUUAGAGAAACCCUUUACCGUUUCUCAUAUUUUUAUUGUGAUGUUAAUAACAAUACACUAUUCACGAAAAUUAGUUGUAUAAUUGUAAAAGAGCUAAUUUAUAUCCUAAGUAUGAGUUAAGCAAGUAAAACAAGGAAGUUAGAGUCUCUUGGCCAUGGUUUAUAGUAAUUUACGAUAUCUUGUUUAUCAAAAUACAACGUAAUUUGUAUUAAUGUUAGUUAUAAAUUCUUUCUGUCUUUCUGUCAUAUAAAAUUUUCAAGUAUUAUUGCAAUUUUUUUUUUCUUGCCAUUUGAUUUUCUGCCUUGGCCUUCGUCACUUUUUUGGUUCUUUUGCCAAGAAAUCAUUUUGUCCUUUCUUUAUAGUCAUGUAGAUUUAAUUAUUUAUACAAAAUACUUUAUUGACGUCCAGAGAAAAUGACAAGACAGUCAUCACAAAGUACAAUAACUAAUGGGGUAUUUAUAAAAGAAUUGUUAUUGUCACUUUAAAUUUUUCAUUCUAUAUUUCAAACUUUAUAUAUUUAAAAAGAAAAAUACACUUGUGAUGAGCGUAGAAUGAGUUUUUUGCUAAUAACACUUCCCUAUUUAUAAUUCAUACUUGUAUAACAUAGUUGUAAUUCAUAGUUAAGCUUAUCCUUCAUCUAGAAGAUGACACAUAAGUUAUACAAUAAAAAAAAUAUAAAUACAGACCCAAAAAAAAAAAAUUAUUAUAUACAAAAACUUAAUUGUAGCAAUAAUUUUUUUAAAUUUUACUUCUAGUUUAAAUGUUAUCACUAAAUUCUCGUUUUUUUUUUUUUCAAACGAUAGAUUUUGUUAGAACUCACGUCAUUAUGCAAGAGCUCAACACUCUACUAUUGUGGUAAAGAGUCACUUGCUCGUAUUAGUUCUUUUAGGUAAUUUAGGUAGUUACAAACAGUAAAAGCUCUCGUGCAAUCACAUAUACUCUUUUCAUUAACCCGUCGACAUUAACAGCAAGGUCUAGAUCCCUUUUUCCAAUACUCAAAAUAGAAAACUUGACAAACCUAUUGCUCAAGAUUAAUGUAGGGCUGGUUUGGUAUGGGAGUAUCUCAAAUCCCAAACCGAAAUUUUUCAAAACGAAAAUUUGAAGACCAAUCACAAACCAAAUGUUUGGGAAUUCCAAAAUAUUUUUGGGAUUUCGGGACAAAUUGGGAUUAAAUUUCAUAAACCCUAACCUAAUGGUAAACAUAAAUAUAGAAAUUAAAUUAGGGCUGGAAUCAUGAACAUCCAAUCCAAAACAUGAACAAAUUUCAUAAACCCCAAUAUAGAAUUCGAAUCCUAAAUUAAAUUUCAAACCCUAAAUUAAUUCCAAAAAUUACCUAAUUUGGGGGAGAAUCGGUGCACAAUGCACUGGAUGAAGAAGACUCUCAGACUUUGAGUGUCUAAUAGAGAGAAUUGUGUGAGAGAGAAUCCUGAGAGAGAGAAUUGCGAGAGAGAGAGAGAGAGUGAUGGCUCUGUGUGGUUAAGGAAGGCUCCACAAUCAAAGACGGUAGUAAUAGUAUAGUGUGGUGGUGGGCUAGUGACUAGCCAAAGUUGAGCUUCAAAUUCAAGAUAGAGAUGAGAAGGCUCGAUGGUUGAGGGAGGGAGGUUGGCUUCAAUUGAAAUGAAAGUUAUGAACAAACGAUGGAGAGAGACGGCUGGAGAACCCUAACAAUGAAUGGACAACACAUAUCAAUUUGAAACAAUCAAAUGGUUGAAAUUAUCUCUAACUAUAAUUAAAAAAUAAUAUAUAUAUAUAUAUAUAAUAUGUAUAAGUGUGUGUAUAUAUAUAUAAUAAUAUAUAUUUUCGGUUCGACAUGGAAUUCUUGAAAUAUUGAUAAGAUAAUCCUGAUACCCGUACCAAAAUUUUGGAAUUGGUUAAGGAUAGCAUCCCAAAAAUUUCGGGAAUCUCAAUUUAGGACAUUUUUGGUUUGGGAUCAUGAUUUUUUCGAUUCGAUUUGGGAUUUUCUAGAAGUUUUUCCACCCCUAGAUUAAUGUGCUUACUGCAAAUGAAAAGGGCAUUAGAAAACCCAUAGUCCCUGGAAACUCAAGAAGCUUGAGAACAUAUUAACCUUUUUCCAAGACUCAAGUUGUAGUUACUCAAUCUAAUCUAAAGAAGCAUUUGAUUGUAAUGAGUCUAAUGACUCAUUCGACAUUCGCCAUUGCUGACUGUUUCAACGACUUUCAGGAAUAUGAAUUUAUAUAUUUUUAUCUACCACAAAUGCUAUCUGUGGGACCAUGAUUUUUCAGGGUUGAAGUAAAGCUGAUCGAAAUAGUGUUACCUCAAAAGUUCGGUCAUGGACUCAGUGGCUCCAAACAGAGCUACAUCAAACGGAACAGCAGUGCCACCAUCACUUUGUUUCGAGGCAAUAGGUGAAGUCUGAAGCGACUCUGCUAGAUUAUUAUCCUUAUUCUGCAAGACAUGAGAUCUGAUCUGGAUAGAGACAUAAUCAGAUUCCUCAUAAGUCUUGAAAUUCCUACAAUAUAGGCAUUAGUGUGCACCGCAAGUAAUUACACCCCUAAGAGUACACAAUAUCUAGUCUUAGAUAUAUUCUUCCGAUUUAGUACAAAGAUUCUAUCAUAAAAAACUCUUUCUCCCAAUCAGUAUAGAUACACUUACAUAUGGUUCAUCUCAGGUAGCGCAUUCUUUGCAUAUUUAUUCUCUUGCCCACUGCUUGAGUCUAAAACUGUUUAUUAACUUAACCGUCAGUGAGCCCUUGACUGGCACCCCCCCUCCAAUCUUGGGCUUACUCAUGGUUGUUUCUUGUUUUUGCAAGUUACUUAAAUAUGUGCCUCCACCAUUUACAAUAGCGCACAUAUUUGGUUCCAACACUAUCUGCCUAUUUGAAUUCGCAUCUGCCAUCAGAAUUUGUUUAUGUGCACAUCUUUCACAUGUCCGUCUCAAUCCGCAUCUACCAUCUACAGAUGCUUGUCUGCCACAUGUUUCAUGUAUCUAAAUGUAACAACCCGUCCCUAAAUAUUUCGAGUUUUUAUAAUUUUAAAACAUGAAUUUACAAAAAUGCUCUUCGACGCAAAAAUGUUGACUUUUGUUGACUGUCGCGUCGUGUCGCGUAAGACUUUCUUCCUUGGCGUAUCUUUGUAGUACUCAGUGUUACAAAUGUGUGGGCGCAAGCAAAAUCGAAUUUGAAGCUAAAAUGAAGAUCUUACGGAAUUCGAAAUUUAAGGGCAUUUUGGUAAUUUUCUAAGUAGAGAUAUUUUCCACUUUGGACCUCCCUGAGCUGACACGUGGUAGUUUUCCCAUUUCUAGGGUGUCAUUUUUCUCUCUCGUGAUCUCUCUUUCUCUUUUCCCUCUUAUUUUUCUCAGAUUUUUCUUCUUCUUCCCGCUAGCUUCUUUCUCCUCCUUCACUCUCGCUAGAACUCACUCCCUCUAGCUCUCUCAUUCUCUCCCCACCAUCACAUCAUAGUUAGGCCUUAAAUAGAGGACAAGAACACGUAGGAAAAUCAACUCGAUGACUCUCGACCCCUGUAACUAACAUAGAGUUUUCCAGUGAAACCUCCAUUGUUCAUAGGCUAGGUAAGCUUUGGGGUUCACCUUCUCUUUUGCUUUUGAUGUUUAGUUCGAUUCCUAAGUCAGCGUGCUCGUUUUGGUGAGCUCGAGAUGCAAAAACUACGAGGACAGAUAUCCCAAUUUUCUGGCUAGGAAUCCAGUGGCUUUCGAGCCCUUUUUCGGCGAAAUCCGGCCACGACCGAGGAAACUAAUGGUGUAUCGGUGGGAAAUGACACCAUCCUUGCUAGUUCGAGCGACUCCCGGGUAAUGGAAUAUCUAUGAGUUGACCCCUUCUUAAAUUGCAUGUUUUUAUAAAAUAUUAUGAUUGCAUUCACGAAAAGCAUGAUUUCAUGAUUUUACAUUUUAUGCAUUAUUCAUGAUUUAUUUAAACUGUUUUUAUGAAAUAUUUAUGAUUUAUUGAAUUUAUGUUUUACUAAAGGUUAUGAAUUAUUGGAUUUUCGUAUAUGAAAUUCUAUGGAUUACGAAUAUGAUUUAUUUUACGGAUUUACAAAUAUGAUUUAUCAUAGAUUUAUAAGAUGAGGCUUUGAGCUUUUGAGCUCCAGUGAUUUAAUAUGAGAUUUUGAGAUGUGUUUUCGGUGCUUAUGUAGUGGGUUAUCAAUCCACAUAACACGGGUAUGUAGACGUCUAUGGGCAUAUGACACAAUUGAGGAUAUUUAUGCCAUACCCCCAGCUUAAUUGGCGAAACCAGUGUCGAACAGCUUCAUUAGCCACGACUAGUGUCGGUGUGUGAUUUUAUAUGUAUAUGUUUCUUCUCUGGCGUAACCCAGAGUCAUACAGCUUCACCUUUGGGUGAUGGACCCACUACAUAUAUAUAUAUAUAUAUAUAUAUAUAUAUAUAUAUAUAUAUAUAUAUAUAUAUAUAUAUAUAUAUAUCUCUUCUCUGGCGUAACCCAGAGUCAUACAACUUCACCUUCGGGUGAUGGACCCACUACAUAUACAUAUAUAUAUAUAUAUAUAUAUAUAUAUAUAUAUAUAUAUAUAUAUCUUCUCUGGUGUAACCUAGUGUUGUACAGCUUCACCUUUGGGUGAUGGAUCAUAAUUUCUUCACUGGCGUAACCCAGUGUCGUACAGCUUCACAUUUGGUGAUGGUUAUGCCUUUAGGCCACUAUAAUACCCUUAGUUAAGUACACCAUUGAUGAGAUUUAUAGAUUUGCCUUCGGGUGGCGAUAUUACCAUUAUUGAGCAUUGUUUUACACGUACAUGUUUUACGAAUAAUUUUCAUGGCAUGCUAGAGUUUUCAGAAAACCUACUAUGUAGUACUAUAUAUACGUUUUCAAAAUAGGGGUUAGUAUGUUCAUAAAGAAAAUGGUUUUCUUAUUAUUGGUAUUAGUACUAUAAACUUUGGUCCACUCACCCUUUUGGUUUUGCACCUCCUUUAGGAUUUAGAUUCGAGGCACACGUUCAAGGCACUCUCGUAUCUGUAACUUGACCUCCCCUCUCAAUAUCAGAUCCACUUUCUUUGUAAUCUCUAUUCUUUCAUAAUAAUCCUUUCACAUUAUUAUUGAUUAGUUGUAUACUCUGAAUACGUUUUUGCUUUGACAUAGUUCUUUUUAAUCACAUAUUUUAUUUGUAUGCAUGUUUAAAAUGGCUUCACCACCCUCGAGUGUCGGAUAUCACGUGUCUACCUUGAUAUUUGGAGAUAUCGGGGUCAGUGCGUGUCAAUUUGGUAUCAGAGCAUGGUUGUUCAGAGCAUACUUAGGAUCUUACCAAAUCCAACAUUGUGGCAGUUGGAAAUCAAAAAUCCUCUCGAGUGUUGUGAAUUACAAAAUAUCAUUGGUCUUGUUGAUUUAUAUCGACAGUUGCCAACGAUUCUUUGACCAUAAUCUAAACCUCAUCUUCGAACAAGAAAUAAGUUAGUUUUGUUCGAGAUGUUGUCUCACCCUACCAUUGUUCUUACACUCUUCGAUGACACCAAUAAAUUUCGAAUCUGAUGGUGAUGUUUACUGUAAGAUUUGCCGUGCUAUGAUGCAGCAUGAUCGAGUAACGUUUAGGCGUUUCGAUGUUGGAAUAACAUGAAAUAAACCGUACUAUCCACUACCUAGAGUCAAUGGCUGCCAUCCUGGCUUGAAAACCUAAUGGCACCCCUCUGUGAAGGCAACCGUGGUGAUUCGAUGUUUGUCGAUCAACUUACUUAGUGUGCUAUCUAUCAGUCUGUGAGGAUUAUACCUUGAACCAUUUGGCCGAAUUCCUCAUUCUUUCCAACUCGCCGACAUUUUGGUUUGCAUCGACUCUAUUCAUAAUCUCAGUUUCACCUUCUAGUAUUAAAAGAUAUCUCAACCAAUCUUAGGUUACCUUGCUCUCUUCGUAUCAUUUUUGAAGUAGACAGACUGUCCAAGAAGACCACUUAGACGUCGAAGUUUUUAGUUGAGAUCAUUAGUCAUUCAAUCCCUCAAUCAGCACUCUAUCGAGCGAAUCUUCACCACUGGUGAUUUAAUAUUCCUAGAGCUAUCAUUGUAACAAAUUUUUGUGAGUUUUAGGUCGUGGAAAAAUCUAAAUUUCUGUUCAUCAGUUUUCAUUAGAUUAUUGUUCAACCUUGUAAACUUCUUAGUUAUAUCUUCACUCGAAAUGAGCUAAGUCUCUGGUGGCGGUGAUUGAUAGAGUAUAUCAAUGUCUACAAUUGCACCAUCACGAACCACCCUGAUUGUACAAUUGUAGUUACUGACGACCUCAGUAAAAAGACACAUCAAUACCCGAAUAUUCUUCAAUCAUUUCUAUUUCCACCUUAUGCGAAACUUUCAAAUACUUUUGCGACACUUUCAAAUACUUUUGCAACAUGACUCUCGAUCAUCAGGAAACUGAGUUAAGCCAAUUUUCAAGUUUGACCAUUUCAAGUUGUUACUACCCAAUCAAGUUAGGUAUGUACAUGCAUUUAAGCAAUAGAAUUGUAUGUUCAAUCUAGAUAUUUUGUCCUCUAGAUUUAAUGGAAUAGUUUUUUACCCUUAAACUCUUGAGUGUUCUUUUAGCCUUCUCGACAUGGUUUCUCGCUAAAUCUAUGAGGAAUUCAUUAUGGAUAAACUCGGCUGAAAUGUGUGCCUAAUUUCAUAUCGAUUCUAAUAGGAACAUUAGGAACAUAACCUUUUCACAAGUUUACCAGGAAGAGUUCCAAGUGAUCUUGAGGAUUGAGCCAUCUUCUAGUAAGGAAUUGGUGAUGUUAUAACUGUAGGUUCCGAGCUUGGUGUUUGUAUGGCCAGUUUCUGUAAAUGGUUUGAAGCAGCAACCGUUAUUCGAAGGAAGUGGUCAGAGUGAUAGCUCCUAUAUUCUAGAUAUUAAGUUUCAAAUCAAGACCAAGUUCCUCAUAUUCAUGUUGUUUCUUCUUUCAACCUUUUGUAUGAAGAAACUGACUGGUUAUUGACUCUAGAUUUCACAUAACCAUCAUUAUCAUAUCACUUGCAUUGGUUGUGUUGGUUUCGGUGCCAAAAGGAGAAGAGUUCAAGGUAAAAGUUGCCUCAUCAUCUCAUGCAAAGUAAGGUUGCAGAAAGGUAAAGUUGUUUCCUAUAUUAGUUGCAGAAAGGUAAAGCUGUUUCGUAUAUUAGGUUUAGAAAUUGAGUUUUGUGUGGUCCUUUGUAUGAGCCUUAUUUGCAUUAGUGGAUUGGACUCAGUGGAGAGUCUUCAGUUUUUUCACCAAGAGGUGGGUUUUUCCAGCAAAAAAUAUCAUGUGUUGAUUAUUGUUUUUCUUGUUCACAUAUUUGACUCCUUGCAUUGAUAUAUGGUCACCUUGAUUUGCAAAUAGAUAUGUCCAUGGAACUAAGUCUAUCAAAUUUAAAAUGUGCACUGAACUGGACCUUGUUUAACGAGAAUCAAUUUAAACAUGGACACUUCAAUAAACCAUGUUUAAGUUGAUUAUUUCCGUUGUUGUUAAACUAGGGUUUAGGGUUUAGGACACUUCAAUGUGCACUGACCAGUGUUGCUGACUAGUAAGUCAAGCAUAUACAAAAAUUUUAAUUAGAGGUUAUUUUGUCUGGUACCAAUUUCACCUAUCAAACUUCUUGUUGACAAACUCAUGUUGUUUACCAUUAUGAGUUUGACAAGAGUGCUUGUAAGUUAGGGCUCGUUUAGUAUCCUAUUAAAAAAAAAAAUUUAGAUAAUUUCUUACACAAUUUUAGUAAGACUAAAGAAUUUGUUUGGUAUAAAAUUCAAAAUUAUUUUUGUAUUCACAAUUAAAAAAAAACCAUCGUCAACUUGUUGGUGGAGUUGGUAGAGGUAAGAGAGGAUCUGGCGUAAAAGUAGAGGGGGAGAUGAGAAAUAGGAAAGAGAAGGAGAGAGGAUAUGGCGUGAGAGUAAAGGGAGAUGAGAGAGAGAGAGAGAGAGAGAGAGAGAGAGAGAGAGAAGAGAUCGGGAUACAAAAGAAAGAGGGAAGAGAAUUGAGAAGAGAGAGAGUGGAGAGCGUGUUGGUAUGAAAACUCUAAAAACUAACUUUGUGUGUUUAAUAUAUAGGCUAUUUUUCAAGUUGGUUGUGUGUUCGAUUUUUGGAAACAGUGAAGGAUUCUUCCCUUGAAACUCAAAAAAAUUGAAUUCAAGUUGAAUACCAAAGAAGCCCUUAGCUUUUCUUGUGAGACAAUGACUAGGAUUCCUUGACUAUAAAAAUUAAGGUUGUCAUUGAUUUUCUCUAUUUAUAAUAGUGUUUGUAUUCAUUAUUUUGCAAUAGUUGAAUGAUAAUUGUUUUCACAUAUAUUUUUCAUAUGUAACGUUCGUGAUAAGGGUGGCUACUCAUGGUUAUGUUUUUUUUUCUUUUUCUUUAAGCAUAUUCUUGGAGAAACUUCUAAUAAAUUUGUUAAUUGUAAAGGCAUUUCAGUUGUGAACCAAACUACUAGCGUAAGAGUGACCUUUAACACUACAAGAAGAGUUUUUUUUUUUAAGUGGUCAACCUUUAACUGCUUAUGUGUUAGAGUAAGCCUCACCUUUUAGAGUAAGCCUCACCUUACAAACCCACUAAUUGCUCCAUAAUAACACACAAAGGACAUUUUUAGGGGCUGUUCUGCACUUCAGUGUAAUUAAAUAACGGUUGACAUGAUGAUCAAACUAACAAAAAGUGUAAAUCGGUUGAAUUGUAAAACACCAUGGUAUGAUGUGAAAAAAAUUAGAAUCUCAUGACUCAUUGACAAAUUGACUCGAAACCUCAAUAAAUUAAAAUGUACUUAGAUUAAUUCUUAUAUUUCAAAUUUGAGAUCAAAUCAUACCCUAAUCCCCGCUACACAAAUGCUUCUCAAUCCAACUCGAAUUAAGAAUGGACUUGGAAUUUGAGUGAUAUACUAUACCUUCCCAAAGACUUGUUCUUUACAUUUUUUUUUGUUGGACACUCCCGAAGUUGAGAAUUUAAAAAUGCAUGAACAUAAUUUCGAGGAGCACCAAAGGUGAAAAAGAUUAUUAUAUUAGCAUAUUUUAGCCGAGGGGAUAUUUAAUUAGAUAAUUAUCACAAAGUAUAAAUAUAGAUGCGGUCCUUAUCAAUGGCAUCACGCUUUGAUUAGUGAAUGUAAAAGAUAAUGAUUUGUAAUGAGGGUCAGGAUUAAUCAGGACUUUGGUUCCACUAACCUGAUAUUAUCUUUUCAAUGGGGGCUACAACCCAGGUUAAUUGAAUGGCGAUUAUUCUAACAGUAUAAGGGUACAUGUGCGCACUAAGGCCCGACGUGGCACGUCAAUUUCACCUCCUAUUUCAUCCGCGAAAAGAGUUGGGGUGGACUAAAAGCAUCGAAUCAAAAUAAUAUCGGUGGUUUGGUAGUGGUGAAUUGACUUGAUGAUUAGAAUAUUUUUAUUUAUUAUAAUAUGUAUCGAGUUCAAAUGUAAAAAAGAAUUGGUUCAAAAAACUUAGUCGGGCUGGAUCAAUAUCAAUCUAUGCCCUUGUUUUGAGGUUCCUCUGGCUCCUUCCUUCCUCUAGUUUUUCAGUUGUUGGAUGAGUACAAAUUAAUUGUAAUAAUUCAACAAUUGAAUAAAAUUGUACUACAUUCUAAUCAUUAUCUAGUUGAGAAAUGCUAAGAUCUUUUCCAAAAGAAAUGUCAAAUUAUAAAUUAAAAUUGAUGGUUGAUGUGACAAUCUGAAGUCUUAUGUCAAAAUUUUUACUUCUCCAACCGAAUUAUCAAAUGUUAUUUUAUUAUUUAAAUAGAUCUUUAAAUUGUUGUAAUUAUUAAAAAAAAAGGUUGAAAACAAAAUUUUUAUUGAUUGAAAUGUUAAUAGAAUAAGGGACCCACCAUUAAAAUGAAAUAAAAAUAAAUUUGACUUCAAAUCACAAAGCGUUCAAACCCAUUCAGCAAACAACAUUUUGGUUUAAGAGACUUUUGAUGUCAAAUAUGCACAGUGGCAUUCCACUUAGGAUUUUGACAUCUCCAAGGAUAUAUUUUCAAAGUGGGACUCUUCAUUGACUCUCGAUCACCUAACAGUUUAACAUCAAUUUAUAUGCCAACAUUAUAAAAUAAUAUGCUAAAAACAUGAGGUGACAGAUAGUAUAUGAAGAGUCCUACUUUUGUAAGAGUCUCCAUAGGGGAAAUUUUUCAUUUUGCCUGGAAUACUAGUAGUACAUUACAUGUAAUUAUAUAAGUGGAGGGAAGUUUUAUUUUUAAGUUGUUAAUUUUUUAACAUAAGUAUCUCAUCAUUUAUAUAGUGACAUGUGAUAUACCAGCCCGUGUUCUAGGCACAUUGAAAAAUCUCUCCUCCUUAGUAUUUCUCUAUCUAGUUUGAAUAGUCUCAUGACCCAAUUGGCAUAAAAUUGGGGAGUGGCUCAUGGACUAGGAAGCAAUGUAUCAACAAUAGAGUAAACUAAACAAAGCAAAACUCCAAUCAUAUAGGCUUCAUGCGCAAUGAAUGGCGAACCACAAGUUUACCACCUGUUUUGGACACUCAAAGAGUCUCGAAUAGCAAAAUGUACACUUCAUACUCUUUGCCCCGUUUUUUUGGUUAUUAUUUUUCAAGAGCUAAAUUUCACACACAUUUUUUUUUUUUUAUCAUUUUACACAUCCCCUUCGUUUUUUACCAUUGGAUAUAUUUAAAAUAUUGUUAAACUGAACAUACAAAAAAAAAACAAUUAUAAUGAAAGAGAUUUAAACCUACUUACCGAAAAAAAAAGAAAAAACACGCUGAUUUAGCCAACUUUUCUCCCAAUCCUUUUGAGAGCAAUUUUUUCUUUGUAAGAUUGUAACUUUUGACAUAUUGUCCUCUUUUAAUCACAGCAUACCUUUUCCACUAAACCAAUCAAACCAAUUAUUCACAUGCAUCCGAUGAAUAAAAUAUGUGAUUCUUUAAGAACAAAAUCGCUUUACCCUUCCCCCUAUUAAAAGAAAAAUAAAUAAAAUAUUCCUUACAAAGACCGAAAUGAUCGACCGUUCAUGCACAUACAUCAAAGUGGGAUGUAAGUUUGGGGUCCCACAAUGUGAAGCCGGCCGACAGGGAAGGGGGAAGAUGCAAUGGAAGUAAUAAAAAUGGGGAAGAAAAGAAGUCGCAGGAGAAACACGUGAAAACAAUUUAAGCAAGUUGGGAAAGCUCUAGCCUCUAGACAUUUGUUUUUUACUAUCUUUUUUAUGGACGGCAGAUUCAUAAUUUGCGUCACGUUUGAUUUGCCGCGUGUUGCGUCCAUUUCGUGUCAUUCGUUUUAUAGCCGCCGUGUUUAACGUACACGACAGCGAUGUACCCAACCUUGUACAAUGUACACAAACUGAAGGCCACAUUGCAUUCUUAGCUUUACAAUGCGAGUAUGAUCAUGGGAGUUGAAUUAUGUCUUAUUAAAGAGUUUGAAGUUGUCCGAAUUAGUUUCGGAUUGAAACUUUAAAUGAACUUAGACAUUUAGUUCUCAUAAUUGAAUUAGAAUUGUAUGUCAGUUUUCUAUAUUGAUUUUAAUAGAUAAUCACAAGAAUUGUUUCAACAUAAACAACGAUCACUGCUCUCAGAGAAAAAAGAUUCUCAUUAUUGGACUUAGACCUAUUGUAAGCCCAGUAUAUUGUUUAUGCAUGAGAGGAGAAGUUUUACUAUUGAAGUCGACUAUGACUUCAUCUUCGUUUGUUAAAGGUUAGAUUAUUUCUUGCACUUCGUUCUUAUAAUUUGCUAAAGGUUGUUUCUAAACCACACUCCUGCUGAUAACUCUAGCAAGAUCAAACUUGGUGUUAGGAGAAAAAAGCCUCAUUGAUUUGUCAAAAUUUACUUGUUGAUCUGGAACUGGAAGUUCCAAAGCAGGCGUCUUGUUGUAUGCCACCAUAAUGAAGCUGCCUUCAAGAAAUCUCUACCCAAUUAAGGCCUCUUUUGAAAGUCGCUCACCAUGGCUAAGAACAUUUCCUCACUCUAGAUCCUUAAAGAAAUUUGAUCUCUUCAAUCUUGGGAUACCACCUAAUUAAAUAACUGCAACCAGAGAGUUAAAUAGGUGGUGGUGUUACGACAUGGUUUUGGAGGAGUUGUGGGGGUGUCUAUCGGAAGUAUGCCUUCAAAUAAUUCAUUUGAUGUAAUAGCUUUUGAAAUGCUUAUCAUGUUAAAGUCUUAUUUGUUUAAUGAAAUAAAGAAAGAGAGAAAGAGGUCUUUAUUGAAUAAGCUUUGCACCUAAAAUAAGAAUUAUAAUGAAUUGUGGUGUUGGUUGCUGACUAGUGGAAAUCGUGGGAGAAAGAAGGAGUCACAGCCAGAGAUCAAACAAUACUCACAAGAGCCUUCAACAAUAGGAGGCACACAUAUAUCACUUGCAAUUGAUGCUGGGAGAAUGCGUGAUACAUCACGCCUCUCUUUCUUACAUAAUUCUUUGUUGCUAGGAGUAAAGCUUAUUGUUGAUCACUAUGUAUUGUAUCUUAUGUUUAAUCAAAUAACAAAAUUCAAGGAAUGUAUUCAACCUAAGAGGAGAAGUGAUCUAAGUAAGUUAGAUCAACGAGACCUUUCUUUUAUAUUCAUUCCUAAAACAUUCAUGGCCAUACGAUUGUUAGUUGAGCAUUGACAAUCUACUAAGAUUAGUAUGUGUUAUGUUAACUCAAGGGGGAGUAUGAAUGUCUCAAGUCAUUAAGUGUUAGACAUUAAGGCAAACACAUAGGUGCUUAAAAGGGUGAGACAUUGAACAACGAUCACAAUGAGUUCUAAAAACCCGUCAUGUAAGAACUCAUAAUUUGCAAUAAUGCAAAGUAGUCAUUUUAACCUGAGACAUCAUAGUUUUCCAAUGGUUUGGUCCUUGAUCUUGACUAUGUUAAAGGCAUUCCAUUGAGGAUGUCACAUUUUUGGGGUUAAAUUACCUAAUCAUGUAGGCAUGUGAAUGUACAACAAGGGAUCUCUAACCUUCUAUGGUAGAAGGAGAAUACUUUGUGAUAUAAUCAGGAGUUUUUGGUCAAAGCAUAUUAAUGAGAUUUAUGAUGUAUGUUUCAAAUCACAUUCAAUAAAAUCAUAUAGAAAAGUAUCGCAUUGGAUAGUAUACAUGAAACAAAAUCAAAUAAACAAUGUGGUCAAACAUAUUAAUUAGAUUUAUGAUGUAUGUUUCAAAUCACAUUCAGUAGAAUCAUAUAAAGAAGUAUCACAUUGGAUAUUAUACAUGAAACAAAAUCAAAUAAACAGUGUGGUCAAGAAUAUUGAAUUAGAGAAUGAUCGUAUUGAAUUGUAGUUGUAACUGGAUAUGUUCUCCAUCCACUUCUACUUAGCUUGGGUAGCCAUGGCGUACCGUUAGGUGUCACUCAUGGUUUAUGGAAGCCUUGAAGAUUGCCAACACUAAUCUUCAACAAACGGAGAAUUGAAAGUUAGUCUCUAUUCACAAUCGAUUGUUAAGAGUUACAAUCGCCCACUGUCUAGCUAAUUGGAAUUUAAUGGAUUGUACUCCAAGUAAGUAUGAAUGUGAAGAAAUAUCAAUGAGAUAGAAAAAUAAUUAAAAAGUUUAAUUAAGCAUGGUCAAUAUUAAUUAAUCAUACGAAGGGGUCAUAUUAGGCUUUAAGUUAGUUUCGGGUUUUGGGUUCCAAAUGGGUUUUGAUCCAUAAGACACAUUGUGUUUAAUUUGUAUGGCAACUAAAACGAAAUGGACAAUUAGCCUAACUAAACAGGCAAGGCCGACCACAGAGAGAAUGGUAGACUUAUUACAAGUUUGUCACUCACUUGAAAUGAGGUAUAAAAGCAACUUUAUAGCUUUGACCUCAUCAGAGUUUUCUUGAGACAAAGUGUGAAACAUUUCUCUCUUUUAUCUCUACGGAGGUCGGCCAUUUGGGUGGAGUACAGCUAGCAAUCUUCCUUCAUCCAAAUUAUCCAUCUUCACUUCAUACCUCAUCCUUGGUGUGGAGAUUUAAAGGCUUGCAACCUUGCAAGCUUUGCAGAUCGUUUCCUCAAAUCCUCAAAAGAGGAAAAGAGAAGCAAAGAAGCAAAUAUCCAAGGAGAGAACUUGAAGGCCCUCAAAACACAAGGAAGCAUCCAACGAGCAUGGAAUGAGCUUGAAGGCCCUUCACUUGGGUGAUAUAACCUUGAGAACACGAGGAUUGGCUUGAAUUUCAUGGGUUAUAUAAUUGGUUUUUAGUGCAUGCCCACUUUAAGAGUUAUUAUGUAUGCUUGUAUGCUUAAACAUUCUUAAUUAGACAAAAAAACUUAUUCAAUGUCACCAUGGUGUGGGGAUGGCAUCGAUAGUGGUGCGUGGUGAUGAUGGUGGUGACAUGGUGUUGGGGUUAGGGGUGUUGGAAGUUUUGAGACUCUUGUCCCACAUUGGUGAAAACAAGAUUCCCAAGUACUUUUAUAUAUGUUUUGUCUUCUACAAUAUUAGUUAUGUGUUGGACCACUUGGAAUGGGAAUUGAGGCUUGGGCCACCAUUUCUGUGGAGUGGGCUUGAUGAUUAUACCAUAAUAUUAAUAUUAAUUAAUCUGAUCAAUUAGUUUUAAUUUCGAAUUAAGUUUUUAAUUAAAUUAAUUAAAAACGUUUUGAUUAAAGGUACAACCUUUUGUAGAGAGUUGUAAAGCUUCAGAUACAUCCAAAAGGUAUUUGAAGAGGUAUGAAAUAGCCUAUAUAACUGGAGUCCUCAGUUCAUCAUCAAUCAUCUUUUCUUCUUCCUUUUCUUCCGUACAAACUUUCCAGAGAGAGUAAACACACAAAGCAAUUCGCUAGAAUUCUAUAACCCAGUGCGGGUUGUAGGAUUAGGUAGUUGUAUCCUGGUCGAGCAGACGUUAUAGAACCACAAGCACAAGAGUGAGACGAAAUUACUGUUCGAAGGACAUAGCUUUUACGUUAGCCUUUACCUUCUGUAAUCAAGUUAGUACUGUUGAUAUUCUUAUAUUAAUUUCUGUAUUUAUUGUGUACUUUUCAUUCUGUACAGCAAGUACCUUUUGUGAAAUAAAAUUGUGAAUUUCAAGUUCUGUUUAUUUCUGUUAUAUUAUUUAUUUCUAAAUUGUUCUCCAACAGGGGGUUGGGGGUUGGUGGUGGUGAAUCUAGCGAUAACGGUUGUGGCAUGAUGCGGUAGUAUAAAGAUGGUGGUUGUGAUGGUAGUAGGAUGGCAGCGGCCAAUACUGGUUUUGGUGGUGGUGACCACCAUGCCAAUAUGGUGAUAAGAGAGUGGUGGUGGUGACUGGAGUGUCAACACAAGUCGUUGUCACUAUUGCCACUAUGCACCUUGAUACCUUUUGCCGCUCGAGUCAUUAGAUAUGCCAUCACCACCGACAAAUCACAAUCGAGUAAUUCGAGUUAUCUUAUAUUCUUCAUUGUGGCUCACAUAUAUAUUUAGGGAUGAUAUUGAUUAAUUUUUUUAAUUGAGGAACUACUUAGGUGUUCUUUUAAUUUCCUAAUAUGAUUUUUCUCCAAAUUAAAACUCAAAUUUGUUUUCCCUUCCGCCGUAACUAAGUUGAAAACACAAAUUAUAGUAAUGAAAGUUGAAUGAAAGCUUGUACUAAAAAAUUAGUAAAUAACACGAAUAAUUUCUCUAACAAAAAUGCAUUUGAGGGUGAGAAAGAAAUGAUAUAUAUAAUGGUCAAGUUGGUCAACAAGUGGUCUCACCCCAAUACAAAACGGUGAUGUGCGUGUUGCACAUGAACAUAAGGGGUCUCCCCCCAUACAUAAAACGUUGGACCACACGUUUGGUUCCUCUAGAUUAGUACCAUAUCCACACCAUGACACCAAACAAACAAGGGCCAAAGCGCGGAGGGCCCCGCGUAGUGACUAUCGAUAACAUAUGAUUGUCAUGUAUUCAAAACAUAUGAUUGUCAUGUAUUCAAAUCGUAUCCAUUCGUCUAUUAGACAAUAGCUAUUUGGUGUUACUAAAGUAAGAAAAAAUCUCUUAGUAAGUAUGUGACAAAUAUACACCAUCGCCUGGCAUCCCGAUAUCAAAAAAACCAAGGACAUGUGAACAAAAACUUAAACAAUUUUAUGUUAUUGGUAGAAUAAGUCAUCAUGACGAUGUACUCAUAACAUAUAAGUCAUCAUUCAUAAGUAGCCUCCAACUAACGAUCACUUGGUUCUGGAAGUCCCUUUCCUUCCCUCCUCCCAUAACUGAUUUUUAAGAGCGAACAAAGCGCGAAGCCAUUUGAUUUGCCCUUGAUUUAAUGAGGGGUUGAAAGUUGAAAGCAAAGUGCGUGGAGGAGGCUCCGCUGCAGCCUUCAUGUUUCUUAGGCAUGGGUCUUGUGCCUGCCUUGCCUUUGUGUAUAUGGACGAGCAAGUAAAGCACGUGAUUCGUACCAAAACUUGCGCUGUUUUCAACCUUUCAUGAGUCGUGAAUCAUGUGACAGAAUGCCACGCUCAUCCGACAUGUCGUCCACCAAUGCCAUUUGGGAUUUGGCUGCUAGCUUUAUUCUUAAUUAAGGUUAAGAUUAAUUAAUCAAGAUUCUGUUUUAUUACUUUCAUUAGUUAGUGGGUUAGGUGGUUGGAUGUACACAUUGUCUCAUAAUUCGAUAAACAAUACCCAAACCAGUGCCUUCUUUUCUACCAUUUCUCUUUUGGGUUGUUUGCCUUGGUUUUAUUUUAGCAGUCACCUGUUAUAUUGUAACCCUUUUUUUUUUUUCUUAACACGAUAUUUUAAACUACUCUGAUGUGCGAGAAGGGGAUUGGGUGGUUGUUCACUACUUGUCUCAAAAAACUAUGCUUGAGCUGUUUACCCUUGGUCCGGACACUGAGAGCCUGGAGAGGCAUUUUUGCUGGGCCAAUGCCUUUAAGAGAAAAUAGGGACCCUAACCCAUGCCUUUUUUUUCCUUCCUGAAAAGGCAAAGGAAAAACCCAUGUCAUUUUUACUGCUUUUGAGGCCCAAACAUUUCUACCCAACUACCCAAUUAAAAUGGCUUAACAUUUCUGCCCAACUAUUUAUUAAGAAUUGCAGUUUUGUGAACUAAAUGUAUGUGAAAAGACAACUCAACAUAAUUUAAUUAAAGGGAACUUUAACGAAAAGCUCUCAGUACUGUUUACUUUAUCGAAAAACCACAUUUUUACACUAAAAAGUCAAUCCUGGUACUAUUCACUUUACCCUUUAUUUUGUCCUUAUCAUUAAAACUCAAAGUUUUCAAACCCUUUUCAUUAGUUUUCCUUUAAUUAAAAGCAAGAGGUGGAUUGUCUUGCUGGUUAGGAUAUUCAAUUUCAGCUUACCACAUUUUGGUUCAAACCCUUCCCUCUUCUAGUGUGUAAAUUGGAAGUACUUGUACUAAUGUUCAAAAAAACAAAAAACAAAAAAAAACAAAAAAAAAACAUUAAUAAACUAAAAAAAGUAAAAAACCACACAACUGUAGGAUUUGUAAUUGGAAUGGGGCCUAGUUGCAAUUUUACGAAAGUUUUGGACUUAUGGUGAUUGCAAUUGUUAUUCGAAAAUCCUAAUUUACUAAAUUGUCCGAAGUUAAUUGGUACAGCAGCUUAGUAAAUGGAGAUUAUUUUUAUUUGGUAAUAAGUUCUCAAAGUUCAAUUAAUUUCCAAGUGCCUAAGAAAUCAAUAGUUUUAGAUUGUAUUCUAUUUGUUAGAUGGACAUAGACCUAAUAAUUGAGCUAUGUGAUUUGCCACUUAACAAUUAAAUUGUUGGUUAGGGACGCGUUUUAAUUAUUCAUCCAUUUGGGAUGUAAUUGAGACAUAAACCUCACUUUAUUUUUAUUUUUCUACUUGUCUCUGUAUUUCUAUCUUCCUCCAUAUGUAAUUCUCUCUAACUUAAUUAGGCUAGAGUUUCUUUAUUUGAAUAAAUGUAAUUUGAAGACAAAGGCCCAGGGAGAAGAAGCGAGUUUGAACCAGAGGUGUUGGCUCAAGAAGAAGACGUUUAUUUUUUAUUCUUUUCUCACAAUUGAAAUGUGUUUUUAAGUCAAAAUUGUUUUCGAAAACAAUUAGAUCAUAAUUAUGAAUUUGAAUUUAAAUUUGAAUGGACCAAUAAUUAUGAUAGGCCACCUUUAUACUCUAAUGUGAAUAUAAUGUAUGAUGAGACCUUAAACCAAAUAUCCCUCUCAAAGAUAUUAAGUUGAUAAUGAAAAAUUAUCAAAAAUAAUUUUCCGUGCCCUUCCUUUUGGACUAAAAGGAAAAUCCUAGUGGUCUCUCGUGUAAGUAUCGGGUAGUCUCUCUUGGCCUAUAAGAGUGGACUGUCGUAACGAAGCCAUCAUCGGUUACUUUAAAAAAAAAAAAAACAUAACUUAUCAUUCUAGAAGGAGCUACAUCAAAACAUAAGACGUUGGUGUUGUGGGUCUAAUGACCAACAAGAUAAAAUUUUGAGGUUAGAUCUACGCAACUACACAAGCAGGAAUAGUGGGUUUGACUUAACGUUGAUGGUACGGUAAUUGUACAGACGGAAGGUAUUUGUAUGGUAUUGGUAUCCAAAACCAAUACUGACCAAUCUCCGUAUUGUACCAAAUAUAUAAAUUUCUAUAAUAUAUAUAUAUAUAUAUAUAUAUUAAUAUAAUACUAAUUACUAAUUUUUAUAUAUUUCAUUUAGUUGCAACUUGAAAUCUUUAACUUAUAUUUAAUGAUUUGGUUUGUAACCCUCAUUUUUAUCUUUAAUUCUUUAAGCAUGGUUUGACUUACUGAAUGUGUGUGAAAUAGUGAUGAAUGAUGAAUCUUGGUUGUAGGUUAUAGGCAAGGACCAAAAUAUCGAUAAUAUUGGCGAAAUAUCGCCAAUAUUAUCGUUUUUGUGAGACACCGAUAUUUUCACACGUAUCCACUGAAAAAUCAUCCAAAUAUCGCGAUAUUAUCGAUAAUAUUGAUAAUAUCGCGAUAUUUGAGGCUGGUGCGAAUCGGAGAAGAACACCGGAGCUUCUACAGUUCCGGUCGACUGUAAAAGAGCACCCUAGACUCCGAUCUAGGUAUCAAAAUGAAAUACAAGACAAGAGGAAUGUUUUUAUAACUUCCGUUUGCCGUGAAAUUGUCAAAGGUGUUCGGAAAGUUCCUUGACACUCACGGCCUCGGCGGAGAGUUCCUGGGUUCCACUGUCCUAGAUGCACCGAGAGAAAGGGAGAGAAAGACGAGGUUUAGAUGGUGAUGAUGAUGUCGUUGAUGGAGUACUACGAAGGGUGUGCGGUGACUGGGUGUGUGUGUGUGUUCGAAGGGAAGAUGAGAGAACACAGAGGCUCGGGUAAGAAGAGGAAAAGGAAGAGAGUGUGAGGGAGGGAAAGAGAAGAGAGAGAGAGACGAGUUAGGCUUGGAGUCUUGCACCACCCAGGGAACAACAAACAAAGGUGGGCCCCAUGGCACACCUAUUAAGACUAAAAAACAAUUUUAAAAGAAAAAAAUCUGCUAUCUUUAUCUUCAAACAUUAUGUGGACUUGACUUUACUCAGAAAAAUUUGAACCUCAUAGGAACUCUAUGUGGUACUAAGUCACUCAUGUAUCUUACCAUGCAAUGUAUAAAGUGUAAAAUAUUGUAUUAAUUCAUUAUAUAUAAAUGAUUAUGGUGUGUUUAAACUUGUUUCAUUAAUUACUACAUAUUUUCUACACUCACAAUGUUUGCCAGCUCGCUAUAUAAUCAACUUAAAUCAGUUAAAUUCAUCUUGCAAUGCAUUUCCUUCCAAUUUUUUUGUAAUAAACUAAUAGAUAAUUGACUAAAUAAACAUCUUGCAAAGUUUCAAUAAAAAUUUCCAAGUUUUUCUUACAAUUUCCGUGGUUUUUAUUCAAUUUUUAUCGAUAUCGAUAAUAUCCCGAUAUUUCCGUGUUUUUGGACUACCGAUAUUUCUGAUAUCAUCGAUAUUUUAUACCUUGGUUAUAGGUAUAUUGGAUUAUUUCAAAAAUUAAAGGUGAUAUUAAGUUUCAUCUUAAUAUGAGGGCCACUUGCUUAACAAACAAAAAAAUGAACCAAAAAACAUUUCGGGCCCCAAAAACAUUAGCCCAGUACCAAAUUGGUACAAUGCCAUUGCAUUACAUGCCAAAUUCUGUAUACCAAAAAUUUCGUAUGGUAAUGGUACCAGAUUCACCCUACCAAAAAUUUGGUAUCGUAAUUCGUACGAGAGUUUUAAUACGAUAAUCGUACCAAACCCACUCCAAAUUCUAAAUGCUGCUCUUGAUUUUCAAAGUACAUUUGAGCGCUUGCAUGACCUAAAUGCAAACUUUAGUAUUGAAUUCAAGAGCGAAGAUGAGAUGACUAAUGACAAUUGGAGUUCAAUGAAAAACUUGUCAAAGUUUCUAGUGCAUUUCUAUAUUGUUACAAAGCAUAUUGUUAGAGAUCAUGUAUUAGGGUCUCAUUAUUUUACUUCUAACUCUUAUUUACUUGAAGUGAAUAUGAUUCAAAUUCUUCUUCUAACUAGACCAAGAGUGAUGGUGCUUACUUCCGUGACAUGGCUUUGAAAAUGUAGUCCAAGUUUGAUAAGUAUUGCAACAUUAAUAAAGUGAAUACUUUUUUUAAUCAUUGCGAUGGUUCUAGAUUCUCUUUACAAGUUGGAAGUAUGUGAAGUGGUGUUAUGCCAAAUUUUAUGACUAUAAAAAAGUCAUUGAUAUAAUUGCUAAGGUUCAAGGUCAAUUGGUGAAGCUUUGGCAAUUAUACUUAUAAGAGAACAUGCCAUCAUUUGAUACUGGUUUUCCCUAAACUUCUAGUGUCUCAAGUUUGAAUGAAGUAUGAGAUCAUUGAGAAAGAAAGCACAUGUUGUGACAAUUUUAUGAUAGUAGAAGAAAGUUGAAGAAAGUUGAGAUUUCACUAUAAAACCAAUUGGAGAGUAGUCCAAUUUCUUAUAAGCACAUGAAAGGUAUUUUUUUCCUGAUGUGAGGGAUUAAUACUCUAAACAAAAUCACUGUAAAGUCUGAGUUGAAGCGUUACUUAGAAGAAUCAGUUAAAAGUAACAUUGAUUUUGACUGUUUAGGUUGGUGAAAUGAAUAAUCAACUUCAUAUCGUACUCUUUCUUGUAUGGCAAUUCCUAUCUCUACGGUUGUUUCCAAAUCCGCACUUAGUACAAGGGUCAAGUACUUGACCAAUUUAGUAGUUCUUUGACUCCAAAAAUGAAUGUUUGAUUCGUGCACAAGACUGGUUAAGGAACUCGCCAACUCUAUUUCGCUUAAGGGUGUGGUGUGGCUAAUACUGCUGAAGUUUUUGUCAUUGGGGUUUCAUGUAGCACUACAUAGACUUGAUUCUAUUUGGUAUUUUUUAUGUUCUCAUGUAUUUUGUUUUAAUGGAUUGUAAUUAUAGUUGUGAAUAUAUGAUGUACAACUAACUAUUUUUUCUUAUUUAAUAAGAAUGUAGGUUGAUUUUUGGACGACAAGACUUGAGUUUGGUGCUUGGUUACAUUUGAAUAAUGAAGUGUUGCUCCUUUUUUCUUUUCGUACAAGCUUUGACGUAUUUUUUGUAUUUUAAUUCAAACUUUGCAUGGUUGAAAUUCUUGCACUUGGUUUAUGUCACAUCCCGGCCCAGGCCUCCACCACAUUCUGGGCCCUGCUUCCGCCGUAGCACGAUAUUGUCCGCUUUGGGCCCCGACCACGCCCUCACGGUUUUGUUUCUGGGAACUUACACGAGAACUUCCCAGUGGGUCACCCAUCCUGGGAAUGCUCUCGCGUGAACUCGCUUAACUUCGUAGUUCCGAUGGAACCCAAAGCCAGUGAGCUCCCAAAAUGCCUCGUGCUAGGUAGAGAUGGGAAUAUACAUAUAAGGCUUAUAGGAUCCACUCCCCUGGGCAAUGUGGGAUGUCACAAUCCACCCCUUUAAGGGCCCGACGUCCUCGUCAACACACUUCCGACCAGGGUUUGGCUUUGAUACCAAACUACACACCCCGACUUAAAUCAGGGCAUGAUGGUCGUCACGUGGGAAUGAUGUAACCAUGUGCACAGUGUGGAAGCAAUAGAGAUAAAAGGGAAUUGUGAAGGAAUAAAAAUCAAACUAUUAGCAGAACUAGUUAAGAUAGAGUGCUAGUGAAAGAUUAAGUGUAAAAUACACAACUAGAGCAUAAAUAGUCUAAGUGCAGUCAAGCAGGACAAGUACUAAUAAUACAACACCCGAGGGUGAUUCUACAUGGUGAUGUUCUGUCAGAACCCCCGUCAGAAUCCUCAUGAUCCACCAAAACACUUCUACUUAAAACCCGGAGGGGCGCAAAACAGAAAGUGUGAGUGGGCAAAAACAAAGCUUUUCAAAAUCAUUUCAUUUCUCAAAAGUUCUAACCCCUCGUCGUAAAACCUGUAUAAUUUCCCAGAAAAUAAUAGUAAUAAUAAGCUAUAUCAGAAAUCACAAUCAAGAUGAAAAUCCAUAGAAGUAUACCAUGCCAAAGUAUCUCAAUGCAAUGCCAUAAGUAAUCCAGACAAAAUAUAUAAAUGUCAAAUAUCGCAUCAGCCAAAUCUCUCUAACUCAAAUUGCAAUGCUGAGUACAUAGCUCAUAACCAAUCUCAAUCAUAUCAAAUCAAAUCUUGCACACGAGUCGGGACCACCUAAAGUGGUCUGUACGACAAGACUAGGUGUAAAAUGAAUAUGCUCUAGUGCUACGAUCACGUGAAGGCUGUGCGAAUGAUCGCGGGUCACCUACGAGUCAAAACCACCUAAAGUGGUAUGUACGACAAGCAUGUGUCCGCAACACCAAUUAUAAAUAUAUGCAAUGACUAAUGCACAAAUAAAAUAGGCAGAUACUUUGCAUGGUAUUUCAAAACGUAUAAUCAUUCAAAUUCAUUUUUUGGGAAAAACUCAAGUAUAUAGGUAUAUACGGAAAACCAAAAGCCCAUUCACUGAUAUGUCGAAGGGUUGUAGCCCCCGAGCCUCGAUUGAUGACACUUGUCCUCAAGAUAGGUCUCACCUAUAUGCGAAAUAACUGAAUAAAUGUUAUUUAAAGCACAUACACUAAACUAGGAAAUAACUUCUCAUACAAUGCUCAAAUGGGGUAUUUGAAUGUACCACCAUGACCUAUUUAACCUCAGGAACAUCCCCAAAUUUUUAGAAAAAAUUUUCAUGACACUACGCACAGACACUUGCCUGGCACGCCAAACGGAUUCCCUAACGGUGUUAGGGAAUAUUCUGUUAAAUAUAAGCAUAUAUCGUUAAAAUCAACCAACGCCGUUACUUGCCGUUAGGAAUAUUCCGUCGUCUCCUACCUUCGAACUCCGGCGACCGUUUCCUUCGCCAAAAACUGGAAAAACUUUAAAACCUUAUAAUUUCUUCACUUUUGUACCAAAAUUCACCAAAUUUAUAUCAAAUUGAAGCCAUGAAGGAGUAGAAUAAAACCUUACCACUUUUAGACCCUAAAACUCUGGGAACUCGCCAGAAAAAGCUCCGAUAAUCCCGCUAAACUUAAAACUCUCUAAUCUCAAAUUCUCGACGUCCAAUUUACUUGGUUUUUCUUCUCCGAGCUUCGUAAGGAUGUUCUAAAGCUUCCUACAAGCUUCAAAUCUCCUGAAACAUCCCUAAUUAUGACCACAUGAAUAGUACCCCGAAUCGGGGAUUCUUAGUCCUCAUGAAAUCGAAAGUUUCACGUCUUAAAAUUAGUAUAAAUGAACUCAGAAGCUUGCAAGGAGUUCAAAAAUUACCUUAUUGACGUCGAUCCGUGCAUGAAAGCUUGAGUUCAAAGUUCGUCCAUACGGCUUGUAUGGAAAAUGGAAAGAAGUCUGAGAGGGAGGAGAUAGAGAGAGCACGGGAGUGAUGUGUAUGUGUGUGAGUGAAUGUGUGGUCCAAGUUGGCAACAACUACCAACCACAAACUAGGAAAGUUUAGUUCUAAUUGGUCCAAAAUAAUUAGAACUUAACAUAUUGGUCCAUAACCCAAGUCUAAACCACACAAAACAACUCAAAAUGUCCAAGGGCGUAUUUGAAAUUUCAUGCCUAAAAAUAUAAUAUUUCGGGAUGGGUUGUGACAAUUUACCCACCUUAUAAAAUUUCGUCCUCAAAAUUUACACAAUCAUCAAAUCCAUUAAAAAUCAUAAAGUAAGCAUGGAUACAUCUCUCUCAUCCGAUCCUCUGUCUCCCAAGUGGCUUCCUCCACCGAGUGGUUUCUCCACAAAACCUUCACUAGGCGCACUGUCUUAUUUCUCAAAACCUUAUCUUUCCAAUCCAAAAUAGUCACUGGCUCCUCAUCAUAAGUCAAAUCUGAAUUAAUUUCCAGAGGUUGAGGAGGUAUCACAUGAGAAGGAUCUAAGACAUAAUGACGAAGCAUAGAGACAUGAAAAACAUCGUACACUUUUGAUAACUCUGGAGGUAACUCAAGCCUGUAAGCAACCUCACCGACUCGCUCGGUGAUCAUAUACGGUCCAAUGUACCUAGGACUCAGCUUGUCUUUCUUUCCAAACCACACAACACCUUUCCAUGGUGAUAGCUUCAGAAAUAUGCAAUCACCUACAUUAUACAUCCGGUUAGUGGCAUGUCUGUCUGCUAGACUCAUCUGUUGAUCCUGGGCCGCUUUUAAGUUAGACUUAAUCACCUGAAUAUUCUGAGUAGUCUCCUCCACUAUCUCAGGACCCACUAAAACUCUUUCACCAACCUCUGACCAACAUAAAGGUGUGCGAUAAGAUUUACCAUAAAGAGCCUCGAAAUGUGACAUACCAAUACUGGAAUGAAAGCUGUUGUUGUAGAAAAAUUCCAUCAAAUCCAACUGCUUAUGCCAAGCGUCACCAAACUGCAAUACUGAAGAUCUCAGCAUAUCUUCUAACAUUUGAAUAGUCCUAUCCGAUUGACCAUCUGUCUGAGGAUGAUAUGCUGUAAUAUAAAAUAAUCUCGAACCAAGAGCUUCCUGAAAUGCUAUCCAAAAUUUGGAAGUGAAUCUAGGAUCAUGAUUCGAGAUAAUACUAACUGGAACUCCAUGGUACUUUAUGAUCUUUGAUACGAAUAAUUCAGCUAAUCGGCUUAAAGAAUACUUCUCCCUUACAGGAAUAAAAUGUGCUGACUUAGUAAGCUGAUCAACUAUCACCCAGAUGCCAUCAUAACUGUUUUGUGUACGAGGAAGCUUGUACACAAAAUCCAUAGUAAUAUUUUCCCAUUUCCACUAUGGAACGGGAAGUGGCUGCAUCAAUCCAAAAGGCUUCUUUUUUCCGCUUUAACUUGCUGACAAAUGACACACCUACUCACAUAUUCAACAAUUUCUCUUUUCAUACCAGGCCAAUAAUAAAAUGGUCGAAUGGUAUGAUACAUUUUUGUACCUCCUGGAUGCAUUGCAUAAGCCGAAAUAUGUGCUUCAUCAAGAAUUGCCUUCUUUAAUUCCAUAUUAUUUGGCACAUACAUUCUACUCUCCUGCAUAAGCAUGCCAUCAGCUUCUUGAAUUCUAAAGUCCUUCUUCUUUCCCUGAUUCCUUGCUUGAAUUAUUUCCUGGGUCUCUUCAUCAUUCAUCUGGGCUUCAAGUACGCGAUCAAUUAAAAUUGGCCUGACUUGAAAAUUAGCAAGUAAGGCUUCCUCUCUUCUUCCACUCCUAACUCCACUCCAGUGGACCUUAAAUCCGCAAGAAGAGAAACAUGACAAGCAUACAAAGCAUUAAGUCUAACUGGAGUUUUCCUACUAAGAGCAUCCGCCACUGCAUUUGCACGACCAUGUUGAUACUCAAUCGUGCAAUCAUAAUCACUAAGUAACUCAAUCCACCUUCGCUGCCGAAGAUUAAGAUCCCUCUGAUUAAAAAGAUACUGAAGACUCUUAUGAUUUGCGAAGAUCUUACAUUUCUCACCAUAAAGAUAAUGUCUCCAAAUCUUCAAAGCAAAGAUAAUAGCCGCUAACUCCACAUCAUGAGUAGGGUAAUUCUUUUCAUGAGGUUUCAACUAUCUCGAAGCAUAAGCAAUCACUCUACCAUGUUGCAUCAAUACACAACCUAGGCUAUUCAAGGAAGCAUCACUGUAGACCUCAAAAUUUCUACUAUCAUCUGGGAGUGCCAAAACAGGUGCAUGAGUGGGAUAAUAUUUCAACCACUGAAAACUUUGCUCACAAUUAUCAUCCCACUCAAAUUUAACUUCUUUUCUAGUCAACCUCAUUAAUGGCAAAGCAAUGACUGAAAAAUCCUUAACAAACCGUCUACAAUAGCCUGUUAGGCCAAGAAAACUCCUUACCUCAGUGACUAUUUGAGGUUGCUCCCAAUUCUCCACAGUUGCCACUUUCUGAGAAUCCACCUGAAUACCUUGAGCAGAAAUGACAUGUCCCAAAAAUGCCACAUGAUUCAGCCAAAAUUGACAUUUGCUAAACUUAGCAUACAACUGAUGUUCCCUUAAUUUCUUCAGCACCAAGGUAAGAUAUCGAACAUGUUUUGCUUUAGACUUAGAGUAUACCAGAAUGUCAUUAAUAAAAACAAUGACAAACCUGCCUAUAAAUGGCUGGAAUACUUAAUUCAUCAAAUCUAUGAAAGCUGCUGGCGCAUUCAUUAAUAUGAAUGGCAUCAUAAGAAACUCAUAAUGACCAUAACGAGUCCUGAAAGCAGUCUUAGGGACAUCCUAGCUGCUGAUCUUCAAUUGGUAAUAACCAAACCUCAAAUCAAUCUUAGAAAACACGCUGGUACCUCGAAGCUGAUCAAACAAAUCAUCUAUACGCGGCAAUGGAUAACAAUUUUUAAUCGUUACCCGAUUCAAUUGUCUAUAAUCAAUACAUAGCCUCAAAGUCCUGUCUUUCUUUCUUACAAACAAACCUGAAGCUCUCCGAGGUGAAGUAUUAGGCUGAAUAAAACCUUUAUCGACUAAUUCAUGCAACUGAACUUUUAAUUUCCUCAAUUUAGCAAGAGCCAUUCUAUAUGGAGUCAAAGAUAUAGGAUCCAUACCUGGAAACAAAUUAAUGGUGAACUCCACAUCUCGAUCUGACGAUAAUCUAGGUAAAUCAUCAAGAAAUACAUCAGGAAAAUACCUGACUACUCAAACAUCCUCCACACUACUAGAACCAACAUCAUUCAGCACUACAUGAGCUAAAUAUCCAUGGCAACCUUUUGAUAACAAUCUUUUUGCUCUUACAGCAAAAAUAACACCAUGUCUCACCCCACUACGAUCUCAAACAAAAGUAAUUUCAGAUAAUCCAGGACGAUGGAAAGUAACUGUUUUCCCAUAGCAAUCUAUCUUGGCACGAUUAUAAUGCAACCAAUAUGUGCCCAAAAUCACAUCAAAAUCAACAAUAUCUAAUGGGAUAAGAUUAGCUAGCAUAACUACCUCUUCUACCAUCACUGGACAUUCUAGAUAUACAUAAUCAACAUAACAUCUCUCCCCUCUAGGCAUAGCAAACUCUAACUCAUAACCUAGAGGUGUAAGAUGAGGUUGCGUCACUUGAGCAAAUGUAUGAGAAAUGACAGAAUGCGUAGCUCCACAAUCAAUUAAAACUCUAGCAAAGUGACCAAGAAUGUUUAACGUACCCAUGAUCAAGUUCGGAUGAUUCUGAGCAACUUGCAGAGAUAUAUUAUUAACACGUCCCUGGGCUUAUUGUCAUCCGCCACGACCUCUACUAGCUUGAUUACCUCGCCCCUGACUCGGCUGACCAGAUUGCCUAGAAGAUCAUGCACUGCUGGAAGCAAUCUCUACCUGCUGGGGAUGUUCUCCCUGGUACCACUGAGAUCCACCAGCUAGAAUGGAAGGAUACGGCGUAUACCCUCCAGGAUACUAAGAAUACCCACUUUGGUAAUAGGGAUCCUGCGAAUACUGAUAUUGCCAUGAAGCAUAAAAAGUGGCAUCGCCCUGAUAAUGGUAAGCACCACUUCGACCCAUCUGGCCAUAACUACCAAACCUUGGAACUUGCUGGAUCGGUGCUGGUAGUGGCAUAUGAGGCUGUUGGGGCCUCUGCUGAUUCUGGGGACAAUUCAUAGCUCUAUGUCCCAUCUGCCCACAAGUAAAACAUCCACUGCUGCCUCUCCUAUAUUCCCUAAAAUGCCUAUUAUUACAUAUGCGACACAAAUGAACACUUCCUCUUCCGACAUCUCCCUGCUUCUAGAAUCUAGGACCUCCUGAUAAUCUACCACCUCUCAUCUGACCAGUGGCACUAAAACCUUCGCUAGAAAAACUGGAACUAGUUCCACUCUUCUUAAAGCUCUGAGUCUUGCAAGGUCCUUGAGAAGAUUGACCGUUACCUUUAUCAUCUCGCCUCUGAUUCUCAUUCUUUUUUUCUUCAUCUUCACUUUCACUGGGCAUGUUCUCUGAAUCCUAAAUCCUCAACAAAAUCUCAUAAAACUCAUGGUAAGUAGCACAAGGAGUCGAGGUCGUUAUAGAACGCCAUUUCUUCUUAGUACCCAACCUGAAACGCCGGAGCAUCUCAAUCGGAUUAACAGCAACCUCCGGAUGAUAACGAGACAAGUUAGUGAAUCUCCUAUAAUACUCAUUUGUCGUCAUCUUCCCCUGCUUUAAUUAAGUAAAAUCUUGCUUCUUACGAUCAAUAUACUCAUGGGGAAUAAACUUUUUCUGAAACAGCUGUUUAAGUACUUCCCAGUUCGUAAUUUCCUCUAGGGUCAACUGAUAAGACUCCUGUCUCCACUAGGAUGUAGGUUCCGGACCCAAAAACCAGAUAGUUAUCUUGACCCACCUAUCAGGAGGAAGAUUCCCCUAACUCUGCAUUACACGGAAAGUCUUCUCAAUGUGAUUGAUCUAUUUCUCCACUCCUUCAUGUCCUUCAUUCCCUAUAAAAUGAUUCAACUUCAGAUUAUACACAGUCUCAAGAGGUGUCUUUUGGGGAGGACGAAGCAAAGACUAAAUGGCAUUAGCAAUAACUUCCCCUAACUGAGCAAUAUCAGGGAAACUAGGCUCAACAGAAGGACGUGGAUCUUUACGAGGUGGCCUAAUUCUGACAGAAGAAAUCAAAAUAAUUAGAAAUUCUCAAGAUAUGCAGGAUUGCAAACCUAAUGCUUUGAUACCAAACUGUCACAUCCCGGCCCGGGCCCCCACCAUAUCCUGGGCCAUACCUCCGCCGUAGCACGAUAUUAUCCGCUUUGAGCUCCGACCACGCCCUCACGGUUUUGUUUUUGGGAACUCACACGAGAACUUCCCAAUGGGUCACCCAUCCUGGAAAUGCUCUCGCGUGAACUCGCUUAACUUCGUAGUUCUGAUGGAACCAAAAGCCAAUGAGCUCCCAAAAGACCUCAUGCUAAGUAGAGAUGAGAAUAUACAUAUAAGGCUUACAGGAUCCACUCCCCUGAGCGAUGUGUGAUGUCACAGUUUAACUCUUAAGCGGAUAUCAAUUUGUGGAAUUGAAUUUAAAGUUUUGAUUGAUGUAUGAAAUUUAACUACUAGCUUUGAUGCUAUUUGGCUUAAUUUUUAAGAAUUCAUGCAAAAAUAAGUUGUUUCAUUAAUAAACUCAAAAAAGUUGGGCAACUCGAACCCAAUUAAACUGAAACUCGAAUGAAACUCAACUUGAAUCCGAGUCAUGACAAAACCGAGCUUUGAUAAAGAAAUAUUAUACAAUUGCAUUAGGCUCUGACCAAAAAAACUGGAUUAGGCUUUAUGAAUUCAUUGGGUUGAUAAUAUUUGUUUACUAGUUUAGUCUAGUUCAUAUUAAGUUGGGGUUAUCUGGAUAAUUGGGUUGAGAAAUUAAAUUGGGCCAACAAAAAUAUCCAAUACAUAAAGAGCAUUUCCAACAGUUGGUGGAAGGCAAGAGCAAAGGCAAUAAUGUUGCUCUCCAACCCAAAAACCCAUUCACAGAAGUACAAUAAACCAAAAGUAAGUGGUGGCCCAACCACUGCAGCCCAAAUGCCCAGCUUUCUCAAGCCAGCCUACUGCUUUCAGGCAAGCUGACGUCAACAUGGUGUCCGCUAACAUUUUUUUUUAUUUUAUUUUUUGUCUGGUGCAUGUAUUACACACACCCAGAAAGGAGAAUGGCUGACAAAAACUGCAGUGGUGGGGCCUGCUGUAGCAGAAAUCACAGACCCCUCCAACAGCUAACUGAGUAGCGCGUUGUGGGCCGUUAGAUUUCCAAUGGUAAAAAUAUAUAUAAAUAUUAUUGUUGUGACACGUGGGGCAGUCUGGUGUGUUCGAUUUCAAAUCAAGGUCACGACUAGUUCAACAGUAAAAAAAUUAGAAAAAAAAAACAGAAAGAUAUUAAAAAAAUUAUUAAAAAUUAGAAAUUUUUUUUAUAUUGUUGUUCUAUAAAUACUCAACCAUCUUCUGCAUUUCUCCCUCACAACUCAAUAUUAUUAAGUGAGUUUAAAAAAAAUUAGAAAAAAAAAAUGAAAGAAUAAGAUUGUUUCAAUUUCGUGGUUGUUUAUAUUAUUAAGUUUUUCGAUUUUUUUAAUUAAUUAUGUUGGUUGUAAUACUAUACUUUUGCCUAGUAUUUGAAAUAAUUUAAUAAAUUAAACAAUCGUUUUGUUUUGAAAACAUAAAAAAAAAAUUAUGAAUAGUGUAAAGGUAAGUAGUAUUCUAAGAUCUCGGGUGCAGGUUUAUGAGCUCAAUGUUUCUCAAUUAAUCACAAUUGUUAUUCACAUUCACAAUUCAUAAACUCACAUGGGGCUUACCUGAGCGUCCACAACACCACAAUUAUAUAUAUAUGCAAACAUCAUAUGCAUAUUCUAAAUGUAAAACAUUUGGCAUGGCAAUUUAAAUCAUAACUCAUUUAAAUGCAUUUUCUAGGAAAGAUACCAAGCAUAUACAUAUAUACUUAAAACCAAAAGCCCACUCACUGGUAUGUCGAAGGGUUGUAGCCCCCGAGUCGCCCUUGACUGUGCUCGUCCUCGGGAUAAAUCUCACCUAUAUACGAAAUAACUGAAUAAACGUUAUUUAAAGCACAUAGACAAAACUAGUUAAUAACUUCUCAUACAUUGUGUUGAUGCACAAAACCGGAUGGUCUUGGUACAACGUAAAUCCGACCGUGAAUCUGCAUGUAAUGUAAAUAACACAAGAUGUAUCGUGGUUCACCCCAAGGUUUGGGCUACGUCCACACUGAUUGUAUUAUAUUUCUCUGAGAAGUGAGGGGGAGAGAGAGCUCUAGAAGUGAGAGCGUUGAAAGGGGUGAGAAGGCUCCAGAAAUGGCCUCUGAGAGUGAGAGUGAGGCCUCUCCAAUUGUGAGGGUGAGGGGUCCUUUUAUAGAAUAAGGACUCCUCACUUAUUACAUAUUUGCCCCUUCCUUUAUCCCAUAAUUACAUUUAAGUCCCCUGAGUAUUUGUACGAGAUCUAAAUACGAGGCCCUAAAUAUGGUAUAAACAGUAGUCCCCUAAGUCUUCAGUCAAGAGAGUCUUUUGGCUGGAGACUUGAAAUUCAGUCCAUGUGUGGGCCGAAGUAACUAGAUGUCGUCUUGAACUGGUACUUGAUAUGAGGCAGUGCCUAAUCUGAAAUGACGCUCAACUAGAAGUAGCACACGCUGCGAGGCUGCUCGGCUUGUGGCUUAUGUUGCCUUGGUUGGCUCAACUUGUGGCGUUGAAGGUGAGGGAGUCCCUUUUAUAAAAUAAGGGUUCACUCCUCAGUACAUGAAUAAUGGGUGCUCUCUAAUGAAAGUGAGGGAUUCCCUUUUAUAGAAUAAGGGCUCACUCCUCAAUACAUAAGUGAUGGGCUAGAGUCCCCCAAGUAUUUUUCAUGAGUGCUCUCUAAAAGUGAAGGAGUCCCUUUUAUAGAAUAAGGGCUCGCUCCUCAAUACAUAAGUGAUGGGCUAGAGUCUCCCAAGUAUUUUUUAUGAGGCCCAGUUGAGGCCCAAUAUAUGGUACAUAAUGUAGUCCCCCAAGUCUUCGGUCAAUAGAGUCUGUUGGCUGGAGACUUCAAAUUGAAUCCAUGUAUGGGCCGAAGUGGCGGUUGUUAGGAGGCGAUAUUUGUAUACCUUGCACUGAAGCUUUGUAGGUGAAGCUUUGUAGGUGAAGCUUUGCAAGUGAAGCUUUGAAGCUAGAGCUCUGUAAAUGAAGCUUUUGAAGCUAGAGCUCUGUAAAUGAAGCUUUCGAAGCUAGAGCUCUGUAAAUGAAGCUUUCGAAGCUGGAGCUUUUGUAAAUGAAGCGUUUGAAGCUAAUUGACAUGAGUGAUGCUCAUGAAUGUUUAUGUUUGAUUGACAUGAGUGAUGCUCAUGGAUGUUGACAUAAGUGAUGCUCAUGAAUGUUUAUGUAUGAUUGGAUGAGUAAUGCUCAUGAAUGUUUAUGUAUGUUUGACAUGAGUAAUGCUCAUGGAUGUUGACAUGAGUGAUGCUCAUGAAUGUUUAUGUAUGAUUGGAUGAGUAAUGCUCAUGAAUGUUUAUGUAUGAUUGACAUGAGUAAUGCUCAUGUCUGAUUUGAAGUACUGGGCGUACUUUUGAUGACCUGGUUGGUGCUAUUUUGGGCAUAUGGGCCUUCGCCCUCCACAACAUGUCAGCCCAUUUGUUUUGGGCUUUUCCUUUUUUUUUUUUUUUUUUUUUUUUUUUUUUUUUUUUUUUUUUUACCCUCUGAUGGGGUUUAUAUAUAUUACCCUCUGAUGGGGUUUAUACAAAUAUCUCCGAAAGAUACGAAACAUAAAUUACAUCAUUCUGGUGGGGUGUUUUUUCCUUGCUUUUGCAGUGUCCCCAUGUGCCUCCUAUUUGCUUUCGCCUUUGUUUUCUCUAAAAUGAUAGCUGCUUUGGACAGCCACCACCCUUUUGCUUUUAUCUUUCUACUCCGAAUUUAUUACAUCCACUUUCUCUGGUAGGAUAACAUCCUCCAUGGAGCCCUCAAUCAUCUCAUCCACUUUCUCCCUCUGCUUUUCAGUCUCCCACUUUAUUUCCAAACAUCCUUUUGCUUUUCUUGUGAUUUUCUCAUAAAAGUAGGUUUUUUCACAAUUGUGAUGAGGAUGGAGCGAGCUGGUUGAUGAUUAUCCUGUCACUUCACCCAUCAUCAGUGGCUGUCUUUUUUCUUUUUGAGUUGGUGGUCGACACAUUAAUUUGUCAGAUAAAAAAAAUUCUUAUCUUCUUUCAUCAACCUUCUCUGUCCACCACGACAUUGAACCUCAGCUCCAUGAUAUGAGUCAUAUCUGAAAAGCAACUUGGGAUUGAUUGUAUGAUCCAAAAGCAAUGUCGUUUAAACUGUGUGAAGCUUGGCAGUGUGAACUGGAUUGGAGAAUCUGGGAGUUGAGGAGCUCUGAGCAGGAGUUUCUGAGGGUGUGCAGAUCAGAUAUGUGGCAUAGAUUCAGUAUUUGAGUCAGGUUAACCCGUUGGAUGGGUCAGACUUGGACGAAAUGAGAGGAUAUAUGCUGCACCUGCUUCGGACUCGUUCUCAUUAUUCCGUGCUUGCCUCUGAAUUCUUUUCCAAAUAAGGUCCCGCUUCCCGUAAAUUGAGAUGAUGAUUCAUCAGUGCCGAAAAGACUGAAGCUGAUGAUGUUGGAGAGGGAGAUGGCGAUGACGGAGCUUGAGAGAGCGAGCUCGCCCAAGGGGCCGACCAUCAUCAUCGAAAUGAUUAGCAACAUGUUUUGAGAUAGAAUCACGGCAACCAUGGGUCCCGCUGUGCAUCCCAACCUCUUCACUUCCUCGAAGAAAUAAGUCCAUGUCAGAAUACUUGUAGUACUAUUUAUUUUCUGUUGCUGCUCUUCUUCUCUACGUUUUGGUAAUAGCAAGCUCUCUUCCAUGGCGACGUCUAAUUUUCAAGGACAGAGGCCAGAAGUUUUCAUUUUCUCGUACUGCUUCUUCACGUCUCUCAACGGAGAACCCGUCUAUGUCUCUCAACGGAGAACCCGUCUGGGGGGUCGCAUAGCAAUUACCCAUCUAUGAAAAUAGGUCUGGGAGCCAUAAUCGUAUCAAUGGAGUUUGCAGAGAGAGAGAGAGCCAUAAUCGUACUGUUCAGACAAGAAGCCCGCCGCAGUGAACUGGAUCGAAGGCCGCGGCAAGUCAGUGGUCUACAAGGCUGUGAUCAAGGGCGAUGUGGGUUCGUCUGAAGUGGGUUUGUCCUCCUUUGACACAUCAAUGGAGUUUUUGUCUUCCUUUGACACAUUAAUGGAGUUUGCAGACAACUUGUGGGGUUUUGAGGGGAAAAUGGUUGAGAGGUGGAAAGAAAAGGUGGGUCUUGUCGUUGCACAAGCCAUGGAUGUCUUUAAUUCCUCUCUGUGUUUUGUUUGCCACUUUCAGAGCUCCUUUGUUAGUGAAAAAAAAAAGGAGAGAGAGAAAGUGUAGAGAGCAAUCAAUUUCUGCACCAAAACCCAACAUCUGCAUCGAUUUCUGGACCAAAACCCAACAUCUGCAUCGGAAAGUGGAGCAUGAUGAGGCGUGGAGGAAAGAGCUGAGGAAAGUCAGCACCGAUUUCGUCAGGGAGUUAAUAACCGAUCGCGUGAUGGAGUUGAUCCUGGCCACUGACUUCUUGCACGUCGAUCUAUUUGCUGGAAAUGCUGAACCAGACCGUGGCGGAUCAAAUAAAAAAAAACAAGAGCGUCGAGCACAUGAGUAAGUUGUUCUGCGUCGAGAGCGAUUACACGCCCGAAGAAGAACAAAAGCUUCACGAGGAGUAUGCUUGGGCUUUUGUAGGACAUGUUGUUUUCUGAUGGAUUCACGAAGGUGGGUUUGGAAAAUGAUUAGUGGUGUUUGGGUUUUGGGGAUAUUUUGUUGUGGUUUUUCUUUCUGGGUUUUGUCAAAUUUUGCUGAUUCACAGUGAAGGUGAAAAAUUGAGAGAGAACCGACAUAGCUUUUCGUGUCGGUUCCCACAGACGGCGCCAAAUGUUGAUGCACAAAACCGGAUGGUCUUGGUACAACGUAAAUCCGACCGUGAAUCUGCAUGUAAUGUAAAUAACACAAGAUGUAUCGUGGUUCACCCCAAGGUUUGGGCUACGUCCACACUGAUUGUAUUAUAUUUCUCUGAGAAGUGAGGGGGAGAGAGAGCUCUAGAAGUGAGAGCGUUGAAAGGGGUGAGAAGGCUCCAGAAAUGGCCUCUGAGAGUGAGAGUGAGGCCUCUCCAAUUGUGAGGGUGAGGGGUCCUUUUAUAGAAUAAGGACUCCUCACUUAUUACAUAUUUGCCCCUUCCUUUAUCCCAUAAUUACAUUUAAGUCCCCUGAGUAUUUGUACGAGAUCUAAAUACGAGGCCCUAAAUAUGGUAUAAACACAUUGCUCAAAUGAGAUGUUUGAAUAUACCAACGUGAUCUACACAACCUCAUAAACAUCCCCAUAUUUUUAGAAAAAUUUUCCAACCACCCACGCGCCAACCAAGGCAUGGCCAGACGCGCCUCCGCGCGCAGGUAACCCUGAUGGAAUCCUAACUGACGUUAGGAAUAUUCUGUUAAAAAGCAACAUAAACCGUUAAGUCUACCUGACGACAUUAGAAUAUUCCAUCAAACUUGACGAAAUAUUCUUUGUCUUCUUCCUUCGAACUCCGACGACCAUCACCGUCGCCUGAAACUGGAAAAUCUUAAAAUCCUUAUAACUUUUUCAUUUUUGCACAAAAACUCAUGAAAACUUAUACCAAAUUGAAGCUUACAACGAGUAGAACACAUUCUUACCUAUUUCAAGCUCCAAAAAUUACGGAAUCAUGCCGGAAAAUUCCUCGAUAAUUCUGCCAAAUUGCAACUCGUCGAAACUAGGUCUUCUGACGUCCAAUUUGCUUGGUUUUUCUUCUCCGAGCUUCGUAAGAACGUCCUAAAGCUUCCUACGAGCUUAAAAUCCCUUGAAACAUCCAUAAUUACGAUCAUGUGAACAAUACUCAAAUCGGGGGUGAUGGUUUUGAGGGGUUUUGAUGGUUUCACGAUCUAAAAAUGGCAUAUAUGAACUCAGAGACUUGCAAGGAGUUCGAAUCUUACCUUCUUGACAUCGAUCCGUGCGUGUAGGGUUGGUUCCAAAGUUCGUCUAUACAAUUGUACCGAUUUUCAGAAAAAUCCUUGAGGGAGGAGAGAGAGAGAGCACGGGUGUGGUGUGUGGUCCUAGUUUGUCCCCAACAAACCAAACUAAAACACUUAAGUCCUAAGUAUUCCAAAUCUUAGGAAAAAUUAAGAAUGAAACCGCAACCAACAUAUCACACACCAUAAGGUACAAGGGUAUAAUUGUAAUUUCAUGCCGUCGAAAAUAAUACUCUGGGACGGGCUGUGAUAGUUUAAAAAAAAUUAGAAAAAAAAUGAGAAUAAGAUUGUUUCAAUUUCGUAGUUGUUUAUAUUAUUAAGGAAGUUUUUCGAUUUUUUUUUAAUUAAUUAUGUUGGUUGUAAUACUAUACUUUUGCCUUGUAUUUGAAAUAAUUUAAUAAAUUAAACAAUCGUUUUAUUUUCAAAACAUUUAAAAAAAAAAAAUUGUAAAUAGUGAAAAGGGUGAAGCUGCAUAAAGGUAAGUAGUAUUCUAAGAUCCCGGGAGAAAAUGCAUCCUCAUCCUCAAGGGUGAAGCUGCAUAAGGGUGCAAUUUAGUCCUCAACCCAAAUUGCACCCUUUCUAUGUAAAAACAACCCAAAUUGCACCCUUUCUAUGUAAAAACAGUAAAAAGGUCGUACCCAGUGCACAAGGCUCCCGCUUUACGCAGGGUCUGGGAGAUGUGAAUGUCGGCUAGCCUUACCCCUAUUUAUGGAGAGGCUGCUCCCAAGUCUCGAACCCGAGACCUACCGCUCAUGGGCGAAGGCACUUGCCAUCGCACCAAGUGCGACCUCUUUUUCUAUGUAAAAACAGUAAAAUAUAUUUUUUUCUUUCAAAAUUAGGGGAGAGUGUUGGACUAAAUUUAGCUUUCAAUAAUUUUCUUAGAAAACAAAAGGUUCAAGGUUGAAGAAAUCGGCGACCGCCAACUGGUGGUUCAGCUUCCCUCAUCUAUUUAACACCCCCGGCCGUUAGCGGUUGGUAGAGACCGCCACACUUGCCACCACCUUUGCCCUCCAUUCAAAUAAAUAAUUACUACUCGAAAGCAACACAGCACCAAAGCCGCAGAUACCCGUAAAACGCAAGGGCAAUGUCGUCAUUUCGUCCAACCGGGACCAUCAUAAAAUGCUUCCGUUUAAAAUCCACGAAACAAAAAUUCCAUCGACCGAAAACCAGAAAGCUGAAAUCGAUUUGGGGAUUUCACUUCAGCCUUUUGUCCUCCCUCUCUUCUCUCUUUUGCCUGAGGAGGUGUUCAAGCGCCUCUUCGGAUUCGUUUGAUUUUCUCUCUGGGUUUUGAAUUGCCUCUCCAAUGGCGUCCGAAAUCUUCAACGACAAGACCGCUGUUUUCAGAAAACUGAAAGCGAAGGCAGAAAACAAGGUGGGUUUUCUUUAGUUUCAUUUUCCCUUUCUUUUUUGUUGUUGUAUUUUUGGAUAAAAAUUAUAUGGGUUUUUUAUUUUUGUGAAAAAUUCGAUAUGGGUUUGUGAGAUCUGAUUCAGAUCUGUGAUUUCUUCGCUUAGAUCUUUUAUUUGUUUGUUUUUCUAUUUAUUUUUUGUGUGUAUGUGGUUCAGAUGUGUUUCGAUUGUAAUGCGAAGAACCCGACUUGGGCAUCGGUUACAUAUGGGAUCUUUCUCUGCAUCGAUUGCUCCGCUGUUCAUCGUAGUCUCGGCGUUCACAUCAGCUUUGUUAGGUAUACUUCUUAUAGCACUGACGGAUUCUUUAUUCUCUCAGUCUUCGAUUCUUUAAGUUUUCGGUGUUGGCUUUGAGUACAUAUAUCGUAUGUAUUUAUGUAUAAGUAUGGUGAAGGGGUUGAUGCAUCCUGAAUUUUGGGGAUCCAAGCAAUUGUUUGUCUUAUUAAUUAAAUCUUAUGAAUUUGGUGAUACGAUGGACAUUUGAUCGAAUUGAAUUGAGGGUGUGGCAUAGGACAGAAGCGCACGCGAUCUUGCUUUAUUAUAGAACCAUGAACUGUUACAUGCAUUCUUAUGAAAUAUGAAAAAGUAGACAAGAAAUUGCAGACAUACAAACAAACAAAUACCAGGGACCCGUUAGUUUUGUGUAAUUCAGAAUGCAGUUGUUGUCGUUCUAAUUUUUUUUUGGCAGUGACAUGCUUUUGUUGAUUGUUACUUUCUGACUUACUUGGCCACACUGCUUUUUCGGACAAUCUUUGCUCGUUUCUUAUAGAAAGAGGAAUUUUGGUUUAAAGAGGGGAGCCUUUUUACUUUUUCCCUGUAUAGUUAUUGUAAAUUGCCGACUAGCUCUACUAAUGAAUGAGGCCUUAAUAAGUUAUAACAAAAGGUAAGCUUUAUGUUUUAACCUCAAAAGCCUCCAUUUAGAUUUUUGAUGUACUUUCUAGUCAAUGGCCAAUGGAUUGAUGGUCGCAGCUGUCCAUUUGCAAAUCUUGCCGAGCUUAGUGUUUUGUAUUAUACAAUGCGGCCUCUUGUUGUUAAGACCGGAGGAAUCUUCCUCUUAUUUAAGGUUGUCAGAGCUUCCUCGUAUUUUGUUUGUUUGGGAUAAAGGCAGCCAGCCCAACAAAUACAGAGGCAAAUCUUCCAUAUUCCAAAUUUAGCCGUGUUUAGAAUAAAAAUACAGUAGCAUCAUGGGUGGAUCUGGUAAUUUGAUUUCAGAUUUCAUUUCAAUCAAAUUGUUAAAAUAUUAUUUCCCCAUUUAGUGAUUCUAACUUUCUAAGGUUACAAGAAAGUUACUUUUUAAUUUAUAUUUUGUCUUCACAAUGGAAAGUACAAGUGAAAGAUUGUUUAUUUUUCAAAAACUUGAUGUUGAAUUGAAUUUGAAGUCGGAUAUUCAAAUUUAAACAACACUGUAUUUGAUAAUGUAUGAUAUUGAAAUUCUUAUGGCCAACAAAUAACUGCAAAAGCAACAACGACGACAAUGACAACAGUCUUACAUUUGUUUUAUUGGUAUAGAUCUACAAAUUUAGACUCGUGGACUCCUGAACAGCUGAGAACGAUGAGCUUUGGAGGAAACAACCGUGCACAAGUUUUCUUUAAGCAGCAUGGAUGGACGGAUGGAGGCAAAAUUGAGGCUAAGUACACAUCAAGAGCUGCCGAGUUGUAUAGGCAUAUACUUACCAAAGAAGUUGCCAAAAGUAUGGCAGAAGAGGCAGGUCUUCCAUCAUCACCUGUUGCAUCUCAGUCAGGACAAGCAUCUAAUGGGCUUCCUGAUGUCAAGACCCAUGAAGCUCCAAAAGAGAACUCUAUAGCAAGGAAAGAAACACCUGAAAUCGCUGCUUCCCCGAAAGCCCCUCACACAUAUGUUACCAGUACUGUUAAGAAGCCUCUUGGUGGUGCUAAGAAAACUGGGAAGACCGGGGGGCUUGGUGCUCGCAAACUUACUACAAAGGUUGUGAUUGCUUAUUCAAAAUUGGGGUAGAUUAUUCAUCAGAUGUAGUAUCUUUGGAUUCGGUUUCUUAUUUGAUUAUAUGUUUAACCAAAAUGCCUUUAUCUUAACUUUAUCAAAUGCAGCCAAGUGAAAGCCUGUACGAUCAGAAACCUGAAGAGCCAGUUGCCCCAGUUCCAGUGCCUUCCUCAACUAACAGCACUCCAACAGCUGGAUCAUCCUUUGCAUCUCGAUUUGAGUAUGUAGAAAUUGUCCAAAAUACUGAGACAAAUCCCACUGGUGCUCAUGUGAUUAGCCAUAUUGCUCCACCAAAGUCAUCAAAUUUCUUUUCGGAUUUUGGAAUGGACAGUAGUUUCCCCAAGAGAACUAGUUCAAAUACCUCAAAAGUUCAAGUAAGUUAUUUAUGACCUAUGACUUUAACAUAUAAAGUAGUUUCCACGAGAACUAGUUCAAAUACGUCAUGACUGAUGUAACUGUUUCUGUUUCCGUGUCGCUUAUGAUUAUCAUAUAAAGUUCCUGACAAGCCUUCAAUUGUGGAUUUAACAAAUGCAAUUAAAAAAAAAUGUUAUGUGCCCAAUUCUCUAGAUACAUGUUUCACUUAUCAGACCAGGAGCAACAAGUUGACAUGAUUUAGAAGUAUAAGGUUGAUGAAUCUAAGAGAACCAUUUGGGUUAAACUUUUCCUAUCAUCUUUUUAAGGAAAGAGACGGGCACUAUAUUACUAGGGAAGAGAAAAAAUGGUCAGAUACAAAACUAGUCUAUCGUAUUCUAGAAUUCUAAUACAAAGUAAGAAUUGAUUGCAAGACAAAUAGGCAGAUUAUGAUGUUUAAAAAGGUGAUUGAGAUUAUUUUGUGUGUUACUUGAGUCUUUUUAAAUGGUUUGUAGAUUUGUUCAUCGAUUCCCUUUUUAUGUUGUUAUUAAGCAGCAAACCAUAUGCCUCAAAUGGUAAGGCCUUGUUUUAUUACAUGGUGCCUCCAGAGUAAAAUUGUUAUGACAGUUGGAACGUACAAUCCUCCCAUAAUACCAAGCACUCCUGCCUGACCUGGCUCCGGCCGUAUAAUUUUCAGAGGUGGAAAUAAAGUUUGCCUUGUGAGAUUGUAGUAACUACAAACCUAUUUAGGAAAAUUUAGCACUUAAAUAUUCUUCAGAAGAAUGUUUACUGCUGGUGAUUUCCUCAAUCUAAAAUUUUUGAGUCUUAUAGUGUUCACACUUUUGGAUAUGUUUGUAAUUGGCUUUUUGCACUUGGAUAUUGAUUGCUGGAGAGACCCAUAAGAAGAGACUUGUGACAUGUUAAGACUUAUUUUAUGUCAUGUUUCAGCACACUCUGAAAACCAGCUUUUGUUUCUGUUCCUUUUCUUCUUUUGUUAAAUUUUCAGGUUUUAUUUUUUUCAGAUUCAGGAAACUGAUGAAGCAAGAAAGAAAUUCACAAAUGCAAAAUCUAUCUCUUCCGCACAAUUUUUUGGUGACCAGAACAGAUCUGCUGAUGUUGAUGCUCAAGCCUCCUUGCAGAAGUUCUCGGUGUGUGUCAUUACCAUUAUAAUACCAUGUUCCUGUUCAUGUUCUUCUUUUGAAUUAUUGUAUCAUGUCUUUGGUUUUUUACUUUCUUGUUGAAGUCUUGUCAGGUUACCACUAUCGUUCAGCUAGACCUCAUAUUGGCAAAUUAUAUAUAUCCUAAACCAUGUUUUUUCCGUUUUAAUAAAAUAAAAUCUUAAAAAGAACCAUUUCUAGUAUAAACUUGUGAUCUUUAUAUUUCACAAUCAAUCAACAGUACUGAGUUACUAUUUUAUUGACAAUUGUUUUUAUGUGUUAUUUUCUUCAAAACAUAUGGUUCAAUUAAAGUUCCUACAAAUCUUAUACGUAUUUUCUUGUUCUGGACAUGAAAUUUUGGGGUGCUUGAAUAUAAAACUUUCAUGUGAAACUUUAGCAUUGAAGGCCAAUACCAAAUUGCCAAUAUAUUUGAUAUGCCGGGAUAGAGAGAAAUCUUAGAGAAUGAAUUUAGCAGUUGAUAACACAAUUGUCUUUCUACUUCCAGGGUUCUGCUGCCAUCUCCAGUGCUGAUCUAUUUGGUGACAGGGGAGAUCCAGCUAUUGAUCUUAAUGCAAGCGACCUAAUCAACCGACUGUCUUUUCAGGUAUGUAUGGCAGUGGCAGGCAAUAAAUUUGCCGGUCCUUUUUGUGUAAUGUAUGCUUAUCGUCUUUUGGCCUGUGUAUCACCAGAAGUUAAUCUUCAUUUGCUUUUCUUUUCCCAUUCUUAUUUUGGUUACUAAUUUGGGUUUAAUUGCUGUGAUGCUUUCCAGGCACAACAGGAUAUCUCUUCCUUAAAGAAUAUUGCUGGAGAGACGGGGAAGAAGCUUAGCUCGUUGGCAUCCAAUUUAAUGACGGAUCUUCAGGACAGAAUCCUGUGAUGUUGAUAUGCUUUCUGUUCAUUUGUUAAAGUAAGUACACCAGCCAAUAUCAUAUGUAGGGGUUGUAAAGAGAGUCGAUAAAAUUCUUCCAAAGACCAGUAAGACUUAUCGAUAAAGUUCUUCAAAAGACCAGUAAGACUUACAAAAAUUUUCGGGGCUUAAGAGUGGCGGGUGUUUUAUUUUGUAGCACAGGAAUUAUUAUUGUUCUGAGAUUGUGGAUUAUAUGUGCUCGUGUUUUUGUAAAACCGCCAUAACAUUACUGCAUUGUGCCAAGGGAGCAAGGCCUGUAUUCUGUUAAAACUGUGGAUUCUGUCCCUGCCCAAUUUUAAUUCAAUCUUUUAUACGUGAACUUGCAAGAAAUAUGUCGUUGAAGGCUAAGUUAUCGAAGGGAAGAUGUGUUGCUUGAAUGACAGGGUUGAAGUUAAAUAACUGUAAUUUGGGUCAGGUCAAGUUGCUUGAUGUAGUUGUGUCCUUUGUCAAGUACCUGCCUUUUCUGGAGGACGAUUUUCUCACUUCCUAAUAUCUCUCCCCUUCCCUCCCCUCCUAGUUGAACAGUUACGAUUAAGCCACGUUAACAUCUUAUAUGGAAUAACGUGUUCCUUGUAGACUCGCAGUAAUUGUGGCCUCUCGAGCGAAGUGAAUUGAUGUGCUUUGAUGGUACAAUGUACAAUUCGUGUUUUGGUAGUUGUUAUUGGUUACAUGUCCCAGUAAGGGAUUAUCCCCGGACCUUUGUUCAAACCCGCUCUCUUUCCCUUCUCCCCAUGCCUCUACGCUUCCACCACAAACUCCAUGAUCAACUGCAAUCCUGAGCACUUUCAAGGAUUAUCACCAGACAACGACAAGAAAGACAAUCAAUAAAAACUAUGAAAUAACCCUUCGAACCAACAACAUGAGUGGGAGAGGACGUCCAAGACUUACAGCAAUCCUGAGCACUUUCAAGUUUCAAAGGAUGUGGAGCAACAUUCGAAAACACCAAAUGAUUCUAGAUUACCAAAAAUAAAGUUUACUUAAAAGUAAGAUGGCAACGAUGAGAACUCGUUUGGAAGUGUUUUCAAAAUGGCUAAAAGCAUUUCUAGUGAAAAUGUUUUUGGAAUCAAUCAUUGGUAAAAUGUAAAUGAAUCCUGAAAAAACACUUAAAGUGCUUAUUGAAAGAAGCGUCAAUUAUGUGUUUCUUGCAGGAAAAACUUUAAGUGCUUUUAGAAUCUCAAAAAUAUUCUUGUUGAAAACACUUUCAAUCAUUUUAAAAGAGCUUCGAAACGAGCCAUUAGGUCAUCUCCAACCAAGCUGCCAAAACAUAGUCCGUUUUGACACAAAGCCCAUCUCCAAUGGACGGUUGGGUGAAAAAAAUUUGGGACCCACCAUGCCAAAAUAUAGCCAAAUGGCCAAAGAGCUGGCCAAACAUAGCUAGCUAGCUAGCCCUAAAAGUUGGGCACAGCUCUGCUGCUAGCUGAUGUCAUGUAGUUUUUUUUUUAAUUUAUUUUUUAAGAUGAAAUUUAAAAAAAAAAUUCUAACUUUUUCCUAUAAAUACCUUAGCCAAUUCUACAUCAUUUCUCACACCCUUUUCUCCCUUCCAUACUAUCUUAUCUCAUUUUAAUGUCUAAGUUGUUAACAUGCAAGUAAAAUUAAAAUAUUUAAUAGAAACUGUUAUUAGCACUCCAAAAAUCUCAUUUUACACUCCUCAUAAGUGUAUUUUUCUUUCUAAUUAUAGAAAGUUUGGAGCAUCAAAUGAGAUUUUUAGAGUGCUAAUAACAAUUCCCUAUUUAACAUGAAACUUAAAACAACAUUUAACGACAAGUGGCCCUCAAAAUAUGUCCAGAAACUUUAUUUUAAUAUGGUUGUUUAAUUCAAUUAACCGAUAAAAUUAAAAGAAAACUUAAAAUAAUAAAUUAUUGAGGGGACUAAAAAAUAGCCCCCUUCGGUUGGAGGUUGUAUAUAGAUAUGGUUUGCCAUUGUUCAUUAUAAAAUAAUUUCUUGCAAUACUAUAAUUUGGCGGGGCCUAAACGUAGCCCUUUCGGUUAGAGAUGACCUUAGUGUCAAAAGGCUGAGACCGAUGAAGGAGAAGGAGCCCAAAUAAAUUCAUGCUCGGCUAGAGGAGAACGAAUAAGCAAAACUUUAGAAACAAUGUGAAGAAGUUGAGGUUCAACCAUAAUUUAAUUAACAAUAUGAAGAGUAGUCUAAUUACUUAUAAGCACAUUCAAUGUCCAUUUUUUUUCUCGAUGUUGAGAUUCAACUGUCAACACAAUGUCAUUAGGGAGAACAAUGCAAUUAAUUAUGAAUUAUUUUUAAUCUUAUAUAAAUAAUAUAAAAAAUUUGACACGUGCAUGACAGUGUGGAUUAUUUGUGCAAGUUGGCGUAACAUUAACUCUUAAUAAUUUUUUUAAAAGAAUUGUUAUUAGCACUAAAAAAUAUCAUUCUACAUUCUUUACAAGUUUAUUUUUUUUUCUAAUUAUAGAAAAUUUGAAAUCCAAAAUGAAAAAUUUUAGAAUACCAAUAACAAUUUUAUUUUUCUUUUGUAAAAUGUAUUAUAUUAAUUAAUACAAGAUGGCUGACACAUCAUGUGUGUGCAGGAAGGCAAAAAUCCCCAACUCUCUUGCUCGUGGAAAGGCAAAAAUGGUAGUUAUCUCUCUCUUUGCUGCCGACUCCCCUAGGGUUGGGGUCAGCACAACUCUAACUUUUCCUGUUCCUUCUAGCCUUAUAUCAUUAGUCUUUAUUUAUCUUCUCUUACUAGCUUUUGGUCCUUGUUUGGUGCCAUGAGGUUUUGUCUCAAUUCUAUGAGCUUGUCUCAGAUUUGGACUUUCUUACCGCUCGUUUACUUAGUUGUUGUUUUAUAGCAUAAGUCUUCAUCAUAAAUCUCCGCCAAUUAACCUAUCGGGUGUCUCUCUUCGGCAACGCAUUUUAGUAUUGUGUGGUUUUUAAGUGCUUUUCACUAUUUGAUAGAAUUAUACGAGCGCUCACUCUAUGGAUGGCUCACUCACCCCCAUUUUUCGUUAAUCCAAUCAUUUCGUUUGUUCGUUCUCUUGAUAGAAGUAGCUUUGUGAUGGAGGUGCAGUUGGCUUAGUGGAAGUUGCUAGUUUCUUCACUAAAUUUUAGGAUUUUUAAUUUUUUUUUUUUAAAAAUAUUUGCGUAGUUGGAACUUUAAGAAAAGUGGUGGAGAAGUUCAAGUAUUUCACUCUUUCCCACCGGCCAAAUUUGGCCCCAAAAUUGAGUUUUCCCUCCUUUUCCUAAACCCUAAUUUUUUUUUUCCAACCAUUUUUUAACUCUUUCCCUCUCCUUCCCAACCGACUCUUCAAAUUCCAAACCCCCCCCCCCCCAAAAAAAAAGAAAAUCCAAAACCUCUCAAAAAAUUAAAAAGCCUUUCCCUCCUAAUUUGUGGAGCCAAAACCUAAAUUCCAAUUUCACAUUCAAUUUUCAUUUCUCUGUAAAUCCAAUCCCUUCAUCUCUUCGAAGUCCCGAAUCGAAAUCUAUCUCUCAGAAACCAAGCACCCAACUGGGAACCCCAUCUCCUCCAGCUUCAAUGGCAGAAGCCCUCGAUGGGUCUCCGCCAUUUUCGCAGUCUGACGCCAUGGACGACCUUGCUUUGGUUUGUAUGCCAGAAAAGGCAGAUGGGUUUUGGCCGUCUUCAACUCUGAAACCCCUAGGCGACCAAUCUUUGGAUACUUCUUUACCAAACCCUAACGGGUCUUCACCAAUUUUUGAACAAGUACGAGAAGAAGAAGCUGAACCUUCUCCACCGCCUUCGCCUCUCAAUCUUGUUGGUAAUAAUUUAUCAAUUUAUGAAUUGAAUUCUUCCGAUUCUUCACGAGUUUCUUCUUCUUGGUGUUCUCCGUGGAAUUCAUGGUCUUCUGCCAAGGGAUCGCCGAUUUCCUUUGAAUCACAGUUUCAUAAGGAAGAAACCAAGCCCUCUAUGGUGGUAUGUUAUUAUUUUUAAUGCUUCUUUCGUUAUUUUAUUUUUGGUUUUUAAUUUUGAUUUGAGUAAUCUUGGGAUGUUGAGAUUUGUUGUGGUUUUGGUGUUGCAGAGUGCAGGGCUUGCAAAUCUAGGUAACACUUGCUUUAUGAAUGCGAUUCUGCAAUGCUUUACGCACACUGUGCCGCUCUUGGAGGGUCUUCGUUCUUCCAAUCAUUCGAUGCCAUGUGAUCGUAAGACCUUAGUUUCUAUUUGUAGUUUUGUCAUAUUAUCAUUUAUUAAUUUAUCUCAAUUGUUGGAAGCAUUGUGAAGCUAGUUGGUUUAUGAAGAUUUCUUAUUCAAUUUUACUGAUUUAAAUCUGAAAUUGGGAGUAUUUAGGUGGUAGUGAAAGAUUCUGCGUUCUUUGUGCUCUUCGUGACCACAUUGAUCUUUCAAUAGCUUCUUCAGGAAGAGUUGUUUCGCCAUGGAAACUUGUCGACAAUUUGAAUCGUAUCCUUUCAUUCAUAUGAAUUUAUAUUUAUGUGCAAAAACAACUUUGGCUUUUUAUUUGUAAUAUUUUGAUUUUUCAUUGCACCAAUUUUUGUAUAGUUUGUCAUAUUACUGUUGAUUUGAAAAUGAGUUUUCGCCGAGAAUUUUACAUUGGAAUGUGAUUCUUAACCCCCAUGCUACUAGACAUCUCAUCUUACUUCCAAAGAUACCAGCAAGAAGAUGCCCAUGAGUUCUUGCAAUGUUUUUUAGAUAAACUUGAGAGAUCUUCUAUGGGUUCUAUGAAAAAGGACGAGAGUUCAUCUGUGCAAGACAAAAACCUUGUGGAAAAGGUUUUUGGUGGUCGUCUCGUAAGCAAAGUACGACUAGAUCUGGCUGCCAUUGUUCUUCCUGUUAUGGUUAAAAUUUGAUGGGAAACCUGGAAAAUUAAUCUUUAAUAUAUAUUUGUUGAUUUUUAUAUGUAUGAAUUGCUUUCAGCUCCGAUGUUGCAAUUGCGGUCAUUGUUCUGACACAUAUGAACCUCUGAUUGAUCUGAGUCUGGAGAUUGAAGAAGCAGACACUCUUCCAAGGGCUUUGGAGUCCUUCACUAAGAUAGAAAAUAUCAAUGACUCGGAGACAAAGUUUACAUGUGAGAAGUGCAAGGAAAAAGUGUCAGUGGAGAAGCAGCUCGUGGUUGACCAGGCCCCUCAAGUUGCUGCAUUUCACCUGAAGAGAUUUAAGACUGACGGAUCUAAUGUUCAGAAGAUUGAAAAACAUGUAGAAUUUCCUCUGGAGUUGGACUUGAAGCCCUACACCGGUGGCAGUGACAUCGAUGUGAGUUGUUGUUUAUUAGUUUAUUUACAAUACUGCUGAUUAGCUCAUUAGCCAACUUGAGAUCAGUUAUGAGAAAUGUAGGGUUUGCUAAUACAUGAUAAUGACCAGAUGAUCUUACAAAAAAGGUCUGCUGAAUGUUAUGUCACCAGUUAGGUAUGUUUAAUUGUGUGUGGUCUCUCAAGCCCUUUGGGUGGGCUCGUUUGGUUGGAAAGGUAGGGGUAAUGGGUUAGGAUUAGGGUACAUCAAGGGUUUCAAUCUCUUUUAAUGUACCAAAAUGAAAAAAUGGAUGUUGUUCUCAAAUUCUAAUUCCCUGUUUCUUUGCAAUAGAUGGAAUUGAAGUACGAACUUUAUGCAAUUGUGGAGCAUGUUGGGUUCUCAUCUACUUCUGGGCAUUACUUUUGCUUCAUUCGGUCCUCUCCAGAUACAUGGCAUAGGUUGGAUGACUCAAGGGUAAAUAUUUCCUGUGUAAAUUCUGUAGUAUUCACGGUAACUGUUUUACCUCCGCGGCUUUAUAAUUCUUGUGAAUCUGGUGUGUGUGUGUGUGGAAGUGGUUGGGUUGCCAUUCAUGUCUCAUUUGUUUUCGUAUUAAUGAUUUUUUGGCCUGAACCUUGUGUUGGUUUUGCUAUAAUCUGUUAGGAACUUCUGACCUUUGUUCUUGCUGUAUGUUUAUACGUGGUAAUCUUUUUUAAGGUUCAUUGCGCCUCUUUUGGCAUAAUUUCCCUUGAGGUCUUCCCUCCCACAUAGAUGAAAUUUGAUGAUCUGUGGUAGUAUAGUUGGAUUAUUUUACCCUCAACCGUUUUAAAUAUUCAUUUUCUCGUUUAAAGGACUUAUUUCUUGUGGUAAUUUUUUUCGUUAGACCAAAAGAAAACAAAAAUAAACAUUAAAAGGUCCAUUCUAUUUUCUCUUUACAGGUCACUAGGGUACGAGAGGAAUUUGUUCUAUCACAGGAGGCAUACAUUCUGUUCUAUGCAAGGAAGGGUACUCCAUGGUUUUUGAGUGUAGUGGAAGCACUAAAGCCAUGCUUGGAUCCAGCUGUUAUGAGUACAUCACCUAAGUCAGUUCUAGAGAAUGUUGAGAGCACCAAUAAUUUAUCCCCGAGUGUGAAUUAUGUUGAUCGUUGUGCUGCCAAUGAACCCAGAGAUGCUUGUGAGACGGUUACUCUUUCGUUGCAUCAAGUGAGACCUAAAGAGGUUGAUGUCUCUGACACUAGAGGUGAAGCUAGUGAACUUUCUGAAUGGAUUAAUGGGCCUAAGCGUGAUGCUGGUUGUUCCCAGGAGACUACAGAUACUGGUGCUGCCAUUGAUGCUUCAACUCCAGGUGGGGGAAGAAACAAUUUUGAUAAAACGUUGGGCAACACUGAGAAUAUAUGUAGUACAUCAACUCCUGUUGCAAAUAGCUGCCACAAAAGGUCUGCUAAAGUUAUUCUCCAACCUAUGACGCCACCCAGAUCUCCAAGCCUGGAUUUGGUUUUUGAGUCUCGAGGUAAGCAAAUUCAAUCUGAUCAGAAAAAUUUAUUGGCUUUUUUAUGAAUUUUAUAAAUGCAACCAACUAAAUGAGUGUGAAUGGAAAUUUUUCAGAACCAAGUUUUCAUCUUCCACGCGAUCAUGUGAAGUCAGCGGACAAUGUGACCUGUAAAAGAUCAUUGAACAAUGCUAUUCGAAAGGAUCUUGAAGUCAGCAGACAAUGCGUUGUGUAAAAGAGCGUCAAACAAUGUUGUAGAAGAUGCAGAGAGAACUGAAGCUGUCAGAUAUCUUUCAAAGAAAAGUCUGAAUAAGGGCAGGGCAAGCCAACUACUAGCGGCCAUGGUAGGACCUCAGAAUGGAAGUUCAUUGGACAAGAAAAGGAAGAGAGCGGGAUCUUCGCCGUGCAAAAAGGUCAGCCGUGCUGGUGGCAGCCUUAAAAACAACCACACUAUGCGUCCUGUGGCAGCUGCAUUACGCUGAGUGUCAGUUUUUACGUUGCAGAGUUGCUUGGAUCGAUCAUUUGCCUUCAAAGCUUUCUCCAGUUAGACAACAAUUGUAAAGAAGGAUCCGAGGAAUGCCUUACAGAAGCCAACGCUUCGGCUGCAAAAUUAUCUUCUUAUUACUUUCAAACUACCGCAACUUUCUACAUGUGGUCAUGUUUGAUAACAAAAGAAGCAGAAGGUAAGUCUUUUGAGUGUAGCUCAAGGGGUUGCGGGUUUGUUGUCCCUGAUUCAGUGUUUUAUUUGUGUCUUUUUUUUCUAAUAUUUUGAUAGUUGUUUAUGAACUUAACUUUUAAUUUAGCAGUGUCAUCUUUUCUAAAGACGAAUAUAACAAAUAAAUAAAAAUUAAAGAAAAACAAAUGGAGCCACAAAGUCUCCACCUACUCGAUAGCCACCCACCAAACCACACACAACCUCGUCGGCGGCCAUUUCCUUGCAAUUUUUGUUACUACAUCCGAGUCUGGGAGCACACAAAAUCAACUACGAAAUCCAAAUCAACACACAAUACUUUUGAAGGAAUUGAAAUCUUGGGCUUUCUUUGGUUUUUUAGGAACUGUGGCUAUCCUUAAAUUCUAGAAAGAACCUAGAAACCCAUACAAAUGAAUUGUGGCUAUCGUCAUAUUCCAGAAAAAACCGAGAAAAAAAAUAUGAAUUGUGGCUAUCCUCACUCCAGAAAACAACCCAGAAAAAAUGAAUUGUGGCUAUCAUCAAAUUCCAAAAAGAACGUAGAAAAAAUGAAUUGUGGCUAUCAUCAAAUUCCAAAAAGAACGAAGAAAAAAUGAAUUGCGGCUAUCCUCAAUUCCAAAAUCUAGAUUGAUCAGAUAAGGCUUUUUGCAACAACAUUGCUUGUUAUGGCUGCGGAGAUAUGGGUUAGAUGAUUUCAAUUAUUGGCCGCGAGAUGCUAUUAGUUUUCAUUUUAGUUUUUAUUUAUUUUUUAUUUUUUAAUUUUUUUUAUGAAAAUGUUAACAAUGUUAAAUUGGUAAUCACAAGCUGAUGGUCUAGAGGUAAAUGGUGGAUUUCGAGGCCUCCUUCAAACUAAAAACUAGAGGUCUUGGAUUCGAAACCUGCUGCUGGUGUGGAAGCUAGACUUGUCCUAGGGGAGGCUGAAAUGUCUCUGUGAGUCUUCUUGACCCCCGGAAGGGGUGGAUAACAGUGGCUUGCCACCGGUUGUCCCCCUUUAUUUUUUUUUAAUUUUUAAUUUUUAAAACAAUGUUAAAUUGGUGUUAAGUUGAAGCACAAGUGUCACAAAUUAGAAAGUAGACAUGCUGAAGACACUAGUUUAAAGGGUGCAUUGUAUUCCAGGUGCAAAAUAUUGUAAAGUACACUCGAUUAGGAGAUUACGGGAACGUCAAAGAUAAAACUAAUUUGAACGACAUGGCAUAAUCACAAUCGCUGGGUUUAUAUGGACGGCUAGGAUUAGAAGACUAGUAUAGUCUUGUAAGGAGAAAAUUUGGCAGAUGAUCCAUAAAUACCAACACAUUUACAACAAAAAUGGUUGUUCAGUGUAUUAGCCGCUGAGGCGGGUGUUGAUGUUCAUCUUUGAUUUCGUUCAAUAAAUAGUUUAUCUUCUUUUUUUUUAAUUUUUAUUUAUAAAAAUUGAAUAUCCAAAAAAAAAAAAAAAAAAAAAAAACAAAAAACAUAAUCACUUCACAAAUUAUAUAGCUUCACCACAAUAAAUUAUAUGGACAUGUUUAAGGACAAUGAGUUUGCCGGUGAGCUUACAACUUUCUUUCUUGUUAAUAGCUAAAUAAUAUGGCCGUGGACGCCUUAAUUUAGAAUUAAUAGAGGUUGCAGAUAAGAUUUAGGAAUGAGCAUCUUGAUAAAUCUUAGGGAAAAUCAAAACUUGAAAUUGGAUAAUACUAUAAUCCUUUGUCAUGAAUGGAGAUUGCCACAAAUCUUUGUUUAUGUCAAAAUACGUACCAUAACUAUGCCCAUUCCUUGGUUUUAAAGCCCUUAAUUUUGGUUUUUCCCUUGAAAACAAAGUUUGCUUACAUAGUUCUGGUUUUACCAAGCCCUUAGGUUUGGUUUUUUCCUUGAAAACAAAGUUUGAUUAACUAUUUAAGGAAUAUGAAGUUCCUGUAUCUAUUCCCUUUUGGGUACUCCAUCUCUUUCUCCGGGCUGAGCAUUUGCACAACACGCUUGGCUUCGUAAAGUUUCCAAAGUAAUUAGCAGGUGAUUUGUGUAUAUAAUUUGGUUGUUUUCUUCGAAAAAGGAGGUAAGAAGCAGAAAUUAAUGGGCAAAUCUAUUCUCAGCCGGAACAGGAAAGCAAUGGAGAAAGACAUUAUGAAGGAGUCCUCGGAGUCGAUGAACACUCCGAAACAUGUACUCAUCGUGAUGGAUGGCAUGAAAGAGUUCACAACAGAGCCGCUUGAAUGGGUGCUCGAGAAUAUUGUAAUCAACGCCGGUUCUACUGUCACUCUUCUUGGUGUCAUGCCAUGGCUUAACAUUCCCCGUGAGUAUAUAUAUACAUAUAUAUUAGCUUGCUAGCAUGCCUGAGUUUAUUGUGCGCAAAUUAGCUCUAAAUGCAUACAAGUUUUUAACGCAAUUUCUAGCUAAUUAAGUGCAUGUGUGCCUUUUCAUUUGGAGGAGAGAAUAUUUCCUAGUUAUGAUAGAGGGAUCAGUCAGGAUCGCAUUUUAAUUAAUUAGACAUGCAUACCGUCAGUUGAUGUGUUAAUUAAAUUAACAGUUGAUUAUCAUAUGGAACUAUAUAGCUAGCUAUACGUAAACUAGAUUUUGCCUCUUGUGUGAGAUGGAAUACUUGGGUGGUGGAAAUCUGCAGUCUCUUCCAAGACAUGGCUGGAUGUUUGGCCGGUGGGAUUAGAAGAAUUAUCAUUUUUCAAAGAGAAAAAUGAGUCGAGGAGUGACAUCAAAUAUCUAAAGCUUCAGAAAGUCGUAAACCUUUGCAGCAAAUAUGGGGUACGUAUAACAAUCAAGCCUAUACGAACAUACGGUGCUAUCAUGUUGUAUCAUACUGAGUCUCCGUAUACAUAUAAUUGCUUGUGUAUCGCAUGUUCAUGCAGGUUUUUCCACAGAAGAAAGUUAUAAUGGGUUAUCCCUCACGCUCGCUGGUUGUUGAGCAAAUUGCAACCCUUCAUGCGACAUGGGUGGUUUUCGACAGGUAUAUAAGCAAGCAUUAAAAUCAAAGAUCUCGGAUUUUGUUUAUAUUUCUUUAGCAAGUUAUUCCGCAAAUACUUGUUAUUAGCAUUUCAAAAUAAUCAGCCUUUAAGUCUAGAUAUACUGGCAUACUAAACAAUUGAUGCAUAGUUGUAUACCCUCACAAAAUUAUGCUGGUCCGUGUGACAUUUUAAUAGGAUGUCUACAAAUGCAGGCACCAGAAAAAUGACAGAAAAUUUUACGCUGGAAAACUUCCAUGUAAUAUGGUAAUGAUGAAUGAAGAUGGGGAGGUUGACAUGAUUAGAGGCCGGUCGAUGAUAGAAACUAUGGACAGUGCUCCUACUCUGCACAUCCCGAUAUCCGACCACUUAAAGGGAAUUCUUAAGAAACAAGCACAAGAUCAAGACCCUGAGGAAAUGGAUCAAGAUGGGAAGGACCUGAAAUGAUCACCUAGGCAGGCAGAAACUAAUAGAGGAUAGAGAUGCAAUAACUAAUAACUUGGCCAUGGUUUUUUUUUUAUUUACUUUGUAUCCACUUGAGAGUCAAGCCAUCAAAUUAAUCACCUUUUGUUUGGAAAAUGUACUUUGCCAAUAUAUUUUUCUGGUGGAAUAAGAAUUUGCUAUAUAUAUAUGCUUCUUGUUGGAUAUCAUGUAUACAUGCUAAUCUUCUAGGUUUGGGAUAAGUUUCUAUUGAAACAAAAAGAAGAAAACAAAAUCGAAUUUUUACGCAAAGCAAACUCAUUGACAAAACGGGGAUGAACAAAAGGUCAACAGAAAAACAAAGUGUUAUCUCUAUUAUCAUGUAUCUGUGAAAGCUUUAAAGUAUCAUGGUCGUAAUCUAGAAUUCGCAUGAAAAUGAAUUUUGGCUUGUUGGAUAAUCAUUUUGCUUUUUAUUUUUUACUUCUUAAUAAGAUAAAUGUACAAGGAGGAGGAAGGAGGAAAAAUAAAGACCGGUGGAUGAGGAGAUGAGGAAGGGAGUGGAAAGACAUGAAGAGAAAGUAGGAAACAAAAAUUAGAAAUGAAAAAUUGCUUUUAAUUUUGGGAACUUUAACGAAAAACUCUCGGUACUGUUCACUUUAAUUAAAAACCACAUUUUUACACUAAAAAGUCAAUCAUGGUACUAUUUACUUUACCAUUUAUUUUGACCUUAUCUUUAAAACUUAAAGUUUUCAAGUCAUUUUCAUUAGUUUUCCGUUUAAUUUUUAGGUUUUUGGUUUCCACUGUGUACUCUAUGUACAUUUUGUUUAGAGACUUAAGAGUUGUCCCUCAUUGGGAAAAAAAAAUCUUCUGUAUAGUUUAAAUAACUUUGAGCUUCUAUUUCUUAAUGUCAAUUAAUUUUAUGAUGAAACCUCAACUUCCUUAUGUUAUCAGAGAAUGUUGGCUCACAUGCGUCGGCAUGAAUUCCUUUUUCUUAAGAGAUUCAUAAAGAAGAUUGAAGGUCAUUCACUAGAGUGAUAAGUUUGUGAAAACAAAAUAGCGCUUCAAGAUGUAAAGACCGAUUUCUUUCCUCAUCUCUCUUCUUUUAUUUUGACAUGAAUCAGGCUUUAAAGAUUCGUUAGUCGGAUUCUUCAUUUGCAUGCAUGAAUUUUGUUUUUGAUUCAUCAACCAAACAUAAAUACUAGAGAUCUUUAUUAACAAGGAUUAAAUUGAAAUUUUAACCACAAUAUAGAUAGUAAAAAUAAUAUGGAAGAUCAAUAUUCCUGGUCGAUUAUCAAUUUGAUCCUCUACAGAAGUCGAUCUGUUCCAUUUGAUACACACUCGAAUAGCAUGCCUUUGGCAUUUUUACAGUAGUUUAAUAAUAACCAUCUUCUUAACCCGGGAAAUUUAUUUUUCAUAAUAUUUUUGGCAAAAAGAGGUUUGAUCCAUAGUGACUGAAGCAGUAACAAAGGUGUUUUCAAGGUGCAUAGCCACCAUGACCACCACCUUCACCACUCCCUGCACCACCUCCAUAGCCAGCCGCCCCACUGCCAUGUGCACCUCCACCACCUCCACCACCGCCAGAGCCACCACCGCCACCGCCACCAGCACCAGCACCAGCACCAGCACCACCAUAGCCUCCACCAGCUCCGCUACCAGCCCCUCCACCUUUUCCAUAUCCAGCACCACCUGCGCCACCACCUCCACCACCACCACUACCACCACCUCCACCUCCUCCAUGGCCACCACCUGCUGCUGCUCCUCCUCCAGCACCAUAACCACCUCCAGAACCACCUCCUUCACCACCCCCUACUCCAGAACCUACACCUCCUCCACCACCACCACCGCUACCACCACCGCCACCUCCACCAUAUCCAGCCCCAUGUUCUCCUCCAGCACCAUACCCUGCACCUCCUCCUUCACCAGCCCCACCUCCAAACCCUGCACCUCCAGCCGCAGCACCACCGCCACCACCACUACCGCCACCACCUCCACCGCCGUGUCCUCCCCCACCAGAAGUUCCGUAGCCAGCACCACCCCCUUCUCCACUACCGCCACCAUAUCCCCCUCCUACAGCAUCAGUAGUAGACAGGGUGUGGGCUCCAAAUUCUUCAGUAGUGAAAAGAGCUCUCGUGGCAGAACAAAUUCCCAAACUUAACAUCACAAGGAAAGCAACGCUAGCAAUCUUUUGAGGAGGAGCCAUGACUGGGACUGAGAGGUGACUGCCACUCGAUCGAAUCCUACAAGCUU